rnacentral:lncRNA from 1 species
UUUAUUAAUAUUUAUAAAUAUAUAACUCUUAUAUAUUAUUAAUAUAUGUUUAUUACAAUUUUAAAUAUAUUUAAUCUAUAUAUAAAAAUUAUAAUAAUAAUAUAUAUAUAGUAUAUUAAUUAUUAUAUAUUAUUAAUAUAUAUAAUAAAAAUAUAUUAAAUAGUUUUUUAUCUAUUUUUUUUUUCUUUAAACCAAACAACUCUUCACGAAAAACCAAGUUUUUUCCACAAAAUUUUUUUUUUCCUUCGAAAAUUUUUUUCCAGUAUUUUACGAGAAGCCAAACAAAGUUGGACAUUUUUAUUUUUUUUUGAGAGAUAGAUAACAUGUUACCCGCUUCAUUUAUUUUAUUUAGAAAAUAAACUUAGUUAGAAAUGUGAAUCAAUUAGGAUUCGAACUUAGGUUUCGAGUACCAACCAUCAAGUCUUUUAGUUUGACAUUUUAUUGACAUCAUAACGAGGUCACCGCAAUGUAAGCACAAGAUCGAGAUUCAAAGAAACGAAAUACGUCCCGUCCGCCCAAUCGUACCGUUCCCAUUCUGGAAGCAGCCAACAUCGUACGGUCAACGCCCCUCAUUUUCGUUCUUGCUGCAAAUAAAAAUCGAAAAAAAUGGGCGAAUCCUCAUAACCCAAAAUACUCUCUCAUGCGCAUCUCCUCCUCCUCCUCCUCCUCCUCUUCUCCUAUCCUCACCACUAUAUAUCGUCGCCUCCUCCUCUUCAAUCCCUUCUUCGUCGCACAACAACAACAACAACAACAACAACUGCGUUGCUCUCCCCCUCUCUGCUUCACGCAAAAGCGCUUUUCCAGAAGCAGCAGCCGAUUUAGUAGCGUCGCCAUGGCCGCCGUCGAGAAGCCCCGGGUCGUCGCGAGGAAGCUCCUCGCCGAGUCCCAGGAAGAGGGACACGGCGCCACCGUGAGGAGAAGCAUUGGAAGGUAAUUCGUUCGCGUAAAAGUUUGGAAUUCAUUGAAUGAUUGAGAUCAAACUAAAAAAAAAAGCCUUUUUUAUGAAUUCAUUCUUUUUUUAUUAUAUAUACCUUUUGAUUUUUUUAUUUUGGGUGUUAAUUUGAUGGGGUUUAUGUAAUUUGCAGGUCUGAGCUCAGAAGCUUGGAUCCUUUCCUUCUCCUGGAUGAGUUUGAAGGUAUUUUAGUUUCUCGGAAAGAUGUGAAAAUCUUUUUUCUUUUUUCUUUUUUUCCGAUUUGGAUAAAAAAUUUAGAAUUUUUAUCAUUAAAUUCUUUCAAAUUUUGCUUGAUUUUGCUCUACUGUUUCUUUUCUUUUAAGUUGGGUGUUUUUUGAACUUCAAUUACAAUUUGUUUUGUUGCAGUUUCUCCUCCCGCUGGAUUUCCUGAUCACCCUCAUAGAGGUUGGUUUUGAAAAAUCACCACUUAUUAUUCAUGAUCUUAUGUUACAGGAUAUUUGCUUCUGCUCAGGUGUUGUUGUGUUUAAUUAUGUAUUUUUUUUUCUCAGGAUUUGAGACUGUUACAUACAUGCUAGAGGUAACUCAACUUACACAUCUCUGUUAUAAUUCAAAUUGAUUUGUAGUAGAUGCUCAUGAGGUGUUCACUGAAUUGCUUCUGUGGAGUUUCAGGGCUCAUUCACUCAUCAAGAUUUCGCUGGGCAUAAGGGCACAAUCGGGCCGGGAGAUGUGCAGGUUUGACUUUGUUUGGCUUUUUUUUUUUAAAUAUUAGAAAAGGAUUGGUAAAAAUGUUUACUGAAAGAUUCUCUAUAAGCCAUUUGAAAUAGGCCCUCAAUUUUAUUUUAUUUUUCGAUUAACACUCGCUUGAACUUGUACCAAUUCUUUUUAUUUGAGUUUUUACGCGUAGUCAAAUUGAAAAUUUUGUUAAAUUUAAUGGCUCUAUUAGCUAUUAACUAUUAGUUGUUCUAGUUGAUAAAAUUCUCAAUUAAGUUGACUAAUUGAUCAAAUAAAAAAUAUUCAUCAAUCUUAGUCGAUUGCGAUUGAACUUUGUUGUUUGAUCAUGUUGGUUGCUACCAACUGGCUAAAAUUUCGUCAGUCAUCAUUUUCAUUGUUCAGUGGAUGACGGCCGGCCGGGGUAUUGUCCACUCGGAAAUGCCUGCAGGCGAGGGCGUCCAGAAGGGAUUGCAGCUAUGGAUCAAUCUCUCCUCAAAGGAUAAGAUGUAAGUCACCAAUUUUGAUGCUUAGUUAUCAUAAUUUCUUGGGUCUCUCCUGAGAUGUCGCGUAUUUGCGCUCUGUCCCCUGUAAAAACAUAACCUGCAUUUAACUCUCAGAUUUUAGAUUGUUAGCACUUAAACCCCCUCAUGUCAAAUGAGAUUGAAUAUGCUUUAAAAUAUCCACCAUAACUGUUUCAAUAGUUUUCGUCGCACUUUGAAUUAUCAUUACAUUUUCUGAAUGCAUAAUUUGAGUAACAGGAGGUCUAAUUUCAGGGGUAAAGUGCAAGUAUAGGAAUCUUCGAGAGUUCCGUAUUUUAGCUUCAAUUUUAGCCGAUUUCGAUCAAUUUUGCAAAGCUCAAUGACUCUUGGCAUCGCAGGAUCGAGCCCAAAUAUCAAGAAUUGCAGAGCAAGGACAUAAGCCGAGCCGAGAAGGACGGGGUCGAAGUCCGGAUCAUUGCAGGGGAGGCAUUCGGCGUCCGAUCCCCGGUCUACACUCGAACUCCGACAAUGUAUAUGGAUUUCACGGUGAAUCCCGGCGCCCAGCUACAGCAGCCCAUUCCGGAGAACUGGAACUCCUUCGUAUACAUCAUCGAAGGCGAGGGCAUAUUCGGGAGCGAGGACUCUCCGCCGGUGACAAGCCACCAUUGCCUCGUGCUCGGGCCCGGAGACGGCCUGAAUGUCUGGAACAAAUCGGGGAGCCCGCUGCGGUUCGUUCUCGUCGGAGGGCAGCCGCUGGACGAGCCAGUCGUGCAGCACGGGCCGUUCGUCAUGAACACGCGUGCGGAGAUCCGGCAGGCCAUGGAGGAUUACUAUCUGGGGAGGAAUGGGUUUGAGAAGGCCAAGCAGUGGAAAUCUGAUUCACUUACUCACUGAUGUGAAGCACAAAAAGAACAGAUCUUAUUAGAUUGUCAUAGUUUUCGCUUCGUGGAUUGCUUGUUCUUUUAUUUCACAGGUUUGGAGGGAUAUUUGUGUUUAAGAUUACAUUCCACUGUCAUCUCUGUAUCAGAAAUAAGAUUAGGGCAAUAUAUUAUCGGUGAAUUCCCCACUGUAACUAUUAUUUUCACUCAAUUAAGUUGUAUGAUGUGUGCUAAUUAAGCGAAACGGUAUUCGGAAUAAACAUGAUUAAUGUGUUAAGUAAAGUUGAUCUAGCCUCUUUUUCGACAGUGAGUAAAUACAUUUCUAGUUUGUUUGUGAAUUGCAUUGAAUUUUGAAAAGAGACAAAGUUGAAUUAUACUUGCUUAAGUUGGUAUUACUAUGACCAAGUUUAUAGUAUCAAUUAUUCUUUCUACUAACUUUUCAUCUUCUAUAUUAAGUUUUGAUGUUCCGUUCAAUAGAAAAUUCAUUGUGGUGCAAUUUUUUGAUAGUAAGUGUAAGCAAACAUUAUAAAAUGGAUAAAAAUGUGUGGAGACCCCUCAAGUUUAACCAUUUUGAUUAUGACCCUCUUUAACUUUCAAUUGUUUGGAAUUAAAGUAAUCAAGGUGGUUCGUAAACAAGAUCGUCACUCAUGUAUGGGGGAUUUUAUCAGAAUUUUCAAUGCUUUCAUGAAAGCAAAUGAUUUUAAUCACUUUUUUAACUAAUGGAACUGAAAUAGUUAAAGACAGAUUUGUAUAAAAAUUUUUGCAAAAAUGGACCACCACUUUAAUUCGGCUCGAGUUUUAAUAAAUUGACUAAAAUAUCUUCUUUUUUUUCUCGUCUCCCUCCUCCUUGCUGUUUCUUCCUCUCCUUUUUCUCUUGCUCCCUCUCCAUUUUCCUCCUCCUCCGUCACCCACAUAUCCGAUGUUGCGCUCUGCUCUCUUAUAUCACCCACAUCUCCAUCGACGCCGGCUCGGAUAUGACACAUAUUGCGAAGUGAGGCUGCGAAGGACCGCAUGGUCGUAGAUGGCGGUAGUGAUGAGGGCGCUGCAGGAUUUGAGGAUGACGGGGAAAGAAAGUAUGUUGGGGCCAGAGCGGCAGCUGCGGUAGAGGGCGAGGGAGAGGAUGUCAUAGCGGAAAAAAAUAAAGAGGAUAUAAGAAAAAUAAAAAAUAAAGAAAAAAAAUAUUUUUUCUACUGGAAAGAUCAUUAUAUGUCGUGACAGCUACAAAAAAGAUCAAAAAAGUAGAGAAAAAGAAGAAGAAGACGGGGUUGCAAUGUUUGAGAUGAGUUAUACUCUUUGAGACGAAAGUUGUACCAUUUAAAAUUAUUUGUGACUAUAUUGCGUAAUAUAAAAUAGAAAUUGCACCGUUUAAGACUUAAAGUUGUACAAUUUUAUGCAACUUGCCUAAGUUGCAUUGUUUGAGAUUUAGUCUGAAAUAGUUUUAAAAGAAACAGUAUAACUUAGUCUUAAUAGUACUACUUCUUUUUUAUGUGAUAUAAGUUAGUCUCAAAUUAUUUUAAAUAGUGUAACUUUUAUCUCAAAUAGUAUAACUUUAUUUUUUUCUUCUUUUUCUCUACUUUGAUAUUUUCUUUAGCGAUCACGACAUAUGAUGAUUUCUACUUUUUUUAUUUUUUUCUGUAUUUUGAAGAGUUGGAUGAUAAAAUUAAAAAUUUGAAAGAACAGAUGACUAAUUCAAAAUAGUCGUAAUUCUUGCAAGUUUUGUACAUGUUUACCUUUUUUUAAUUUCUUUUAAAAUUAUUCUUACAUUUUCCACAGUGUGAAACUUUUAUCAAUUAGGAGUUUUUUUUAAAAAAAAGCAAUUAAUUUGUGUGUGCUCCGAAGGGGACACCAAAGCAGAAGCAAAACCAAAAGCAAAAGGCCAGCCCCUUUCUUCUAUAUCCACAAACUCUUUUUUUUCUUUUUUUUUCUUUUUUUUUUUUUGGGGGUUUUUCAAAAGUAAAUAGCCGUUAUUGGAUUUUGUCCUCCUCAGCCUCUCAUUCAUUCAUUCAUUCCCCUCUCCCCCUUCGCCCUUCGCCAUGUUCUCCACCGUAGGAGCGAUCGGGGGUUUCUCCCUCCUCUCCAAACCCUACUCUUUGUGCAGCAGCAACAGCAACAGCAACAGCAACAGCAACGAUCCCUCCUCACCAACCCCAAUUGCCGCCGCAUCGUCGUCUCCCUCGCUCCUCUUCCUUAACCCUCGUCGCCGCCGCCGCCGCCAUGGCCAUGGCCGGAGAAGCAGCUUCUUCUUCCCCCUCGCCUGCGCCGCCGAGCUCGCCUCCUCCGGCAGCAGCCUCGAUCAGAAGAAGGAAGACGAGGCGCGCCUCGAUCGGGUGCGGCCCCCGGCCCCUUCGCUUUUCCUGAAUCAUUUGUUUCAAUUUUUAUUUCGAUCGGAUCAUUUUAUUAAGUUUUCUGUAAUUUUAGAACAAAAUGGUACAAUGAUGGGUGAUAAUUUAGCUGUCAAAUCAUAUCAAACCAAUUUCUCUUUCGAAGUAACGUAAUAGUCGAAUGAUAGUAAUUAAUCGAGAUUUGAACAGCGAAUCAAUUGAAAUGGAAAUCAAAGUUUUGUGCCUUCAUUGAAAGAAAUCGAAGUUCGGUGAUCAAUGGUGUAAUUUAUGUUUUAUCUGCAAAUCAUGGAAAAACUUUAGCCCUCUUGCUAUUUCAGUUUGCAGAGAGCAAUCUAAAACUUUAACAAAUCAUUCGAUUCUCGGUUUGUAAUAUUCUGAAAAUCCUCCAUAUUUUUUAUUCAAAAAUAUUCAAAUUAUUGCAUGCAGCUCAAAUUGGAGAGUCGUAAGAGGUGUUCGUAAAGUUGUCAAGUCAUCAUAGUUUCCUAACUAGUAGGAAUGUUAUAAUACUAUGGCAUAGGGUUUUGUCAUUUCCGUAAUUGAGGGGAAUGAUGAUUAUUAGUCCAUUAACAAGAAUAGGCAAGUCCCUAACAAUCUCCCAAUCCAAGUGAUAUGGUUAGUUUGUAGCAAAAUUGCAAUAUUAAAUAUAAAAUGUGCAGUAUUUUCUGGAAUGCUAUAGACCAGUGAAAUGAAUGACCUAUAAAGUUUGAUGUUUGGUACCCAGUUCAAAUUAUUGUAAUUAACUACCUGAACUUAUUAGCUUGAGGUGACAAAUGAUAGCAAAAUUGUCAGGGAACAGCAAAAACAGUAUGCAAAAACUCAGAUCUUGUUAGUGAAAUAGAUCAUAAUUGACGCACUUGAUUUUUAGUAAUCAAAAUGCUAGAAAUUAGUUUCAAAUUGUAAAACUGAAGUUUAGCAUCAAGAAAGACCUAUCUAUAUUGCCGACAUGUGUUUUCACUACUUAAUCAUUUGACAGUCAAUUGCUAAUUUUGAGAGUUCUGGUGUCAAAUGUUAAAUCUCUACAGGUGGCUAAAGUUGAGGUGGUUCUUGUGCAUUUAUAUUUAUAUAUUUUUUUUGUUUUUAAUUCGCCAAUGUUGUUAAUAUCUCACUCUGAGAUUGCUUCUGAAGAAGUAGAGGGCGGCAGACUGGAGGGCGGCGCGGACGUAUAAAGAAAGCGGCGUCAUCUUCGAAGGGAAGGUUGAAGGAUCCAACAACGGAGGCUUAUUGUUGCGAUUUUAUUCUCUUCUCGGGUUUCUUCCCUACCCUCUCUUGAGCCCAUCUCAUUCUUGCAGAGGUACUUAUUGUUUUGCACUAUUUCUAUUGAUAUAAUUCAUUAUUACCUAUAUAAAAGUCUAUUAAGUUUUGAUUUGGUUAUUUAAGUUUGUAUAUUGCUUUCCAAGUAAUGGGAUAUGUGAGAAGUUUCAUGUUUGGUAUGUAUCUAAUUACUAUUUGUGAAUCGUCCAUAUCAUGGUGUCUGACUCCUAUUGCUGCUGACACUGCUAUGUUGGCAUCAAAAUAAGUGCUGCGAUAAAUUGUUAGUUUUGACUUGAACACUACUACACAAUAUUUGGUGAAACUUAUCCAUAAGACGUAUAUUAGUAUUGUUUCUUGUGUGGGAGCUAGUAUGCUAUGGAUGAUCUAUUUAUUGAUUACUUCCCAAAAUUAUGCCCUGAUAACUGGUUCUGCCUGUAGAUCCACUAAGAACCAUUCAAGAAACAGCGAAGGAUCUAGUCGGUUCAUCUAUUGCUGUAAAGGUAAUAAAGUUUCUUGUUCAAGGUUGUAUAUGAUGUUGAUUUUCUUUUUGUUACUUCUGUUACAAUUACAAAUAGUUAAUACGUGUGAUCCAUAUGAUCUAAGAAGAUAUUCUGAUCUAGAAAUUGGUGCAUGACCUUUAUAAAAAGAGUGUAUGAAGUGUAAGACUGAACUAGUGUGUGAAUGAAUUUAAGAACUUUCUACAUAUAUGUACAAUGGUGCAAAAAAUCCAAUGGGCAUAGUGAAGUAAAAGAAAUCAGGGCAGUUUACAAAGUGGUAGCAGCAGUUGAGGCAACAAAUGAACUACUAUUUUUCUAUUAUUGUCGACAUUACUCAAAUAUUAAAUGCUGAAAAGAAGCAAUAAACCUGAAUGAGACAUUCGUAGAGACAUUCCCAGAAGCAACUAUUUAAGGGGCUUACAAAAUAUGUCAGUUACGUGAUUAAAGUUAAAUUUACUUAUAUUUAUCGGAACUUGAAAGAAGGGUAAAAGAGCAUACAUUCAUGGGUUCUAUUGAUGAUAUUAUAUAGUACAAGAGAUGAGUCUAAUAUAGUAACAAUGCCUAAUAUAGUAACAAUAUAACUAGAUAUCUCAUAUCAUAUAAUCCUACUCUAAAUAUGUCGUAAUAUAUAGUAUCCUCAUAUAGCAUGAGAUACUAAAUAUGUCGUAACAGAACUUUUAAGCAAGGUACUGUGUAUAUCACUAUUUCAGUUGUAUAUAUCAUAUUGUCAAACAUUCAUUGGUAAACACAUUAGAACUCUCACAAGAAAGCAAUGUCAUGAAAGAGUUGUCCACAUGAUAUUGAUUUCUUCAAACAUUCAUUUAAAUGAAUAUCAAGCAAACUAUCUCUGCUUCUUAUAAAAUUUCUAACAAUGUGGAGAAGUUUAUGUAAAGACCUUUGCGAUAGUUUUAAGAUUUAUCACUUCUUUAGAUCUCAUAUCAUAGAUAUGUACAUCAUUGAUAAUUGUGUUGUCUGGUUCUCUCUCCUUCGUUUAGUAGCAAACUAAAAAACUUUUAAUCAUCUAUUGCUUGGUUACUUAGUAAAGUGCAUAUUACUAGAAUGAACACAUAUCUUGUACCCUUAUGCACCCUCUCUCUCAUGCUUUGAAAGGCCAAGACAAUUUGAAAGUGCUUUAGAGUUCCCCACCUCCAAUGCUAUAAAAUGAUGUGGGGAACCACCACCGCUGAAACAAGUGGUUGUAACUUGUCAAAGUUUCAUGUUUUGAGCUUUGGAAAGUUUACUUAUGCAUUUGAAUAUUUUGAAUACAAAAAAUUACCACUUCAGUAAAUCCUGCAGGUAAUUGAAGCAAACGAGGAGGAAAAGAAGCUUAUUUUCUCUGAAAAGGAUGCUAGUUGGUCUAAGUAUUCAAGCCAAGUCAAGAUUGGGGAUGUUUUUGAUGCCGUGGUGGGUUCAGUGGAAGACUAUGGUGCAUUUGCUCAUCUACGUUUUCCUGACGGUACCUCUUUUUCAAGAUGAAGUAAUGAGUAGUCCUUUCCUACUAGCCUGAAAUUUCUUGAUCAAGGAUUUAAACGUGAUACCAAUUUUUCUUGACAGGACGCUAUCAUCUUACUGGACUUGUACAUGUUUCUGAGGUCUCUUGGGAUUUGGUUCAAGAUGUGAGAGAUUUUCUGAAUGAAGGUGAUCAGGUCAAGGUCAAAGUGAUUAAUAUAGACAGGUUAGAAUGCUGAGUUGUAAUUAAAAUGUUUCUUAAUCAGUUGAGCUAGUUCAUUACCACUGCACAGUACUAUGGAUAUGUGAUAAUGACAUGGCAAGAAAUGGAUAUAUAGAUAUAGCUAAAUAUGAAAAAUAAGGAUAUAAUAUUAUAAUAAAGAUCUCAUUUCAGUUGGAGCUUUGUUAUUCAUAAUGUACACUGAUCCUUGUUAAACUUCUAUGGAUAAAUGUGUAUGGUGACCAACUUAUAGCUGGCAACCUCGUAGAACUCUUGGAUAUAUAUCAACUAGAAUGUUCAAGAAAUCUAAUGGGGAAUCAUCCCUAUAUCAAUGGAAUCUCAUCAUUCAUAGACAACAAAGUGAUAGGGACAUAUAAGUACUAAAAGGUUAUAAGUACAAGAACUUUCAGGGAAGAAAAACGGAUUUAUGCAUGGAAUCAAAUAUGCUUUCUUAUACCAUGUUCAAACUUCAAAUACAAAAUCAAAAGAGAUGUUUGAAGAAAUACAGAUUUCAUAUGGGUGCAUUUAGAUCUUUAUUUUCAAAAUCUGAAUUUUAUGCAAUUGAUAGCUUGGGUGGAUACACUUCUCUAUUCUUAUUAUUGUUGGUUAGCUUGCAAACUCAUCUACUCUUUUGGGGUGGUAGCCCGGCGGGGGGGGAGGUGCGCGGGUGAGAGGUUGGGGAGCAAAACAUUAGAUGUCUAGCUUACAAAUAAUCUGUCAUUUAUUGGUGAUUAUGUAUAUAUGUUUAUUAGACAAUUGUCAUGCCUUUGCAAUUCAUCUGUCAAGAGGCUUUGUUAAACUUAGCUAAAGUGUCUUAUGAGUCUCUUGGUUAUAUGAACGUUUUAUCUUUUAAUAUUAUCAAAUUUUGGCAGUUUUUUAUGAAACUAAACCAUUUGACUGAAAUGACCGAAUGGUCUUUAUAUUCGACUCUUUUUGUUUAACCAUUUGACUGAAAUGACCGAAUGGUCUUUAUAUUCGACUCUUUUUGUUUAUGCUAAGACUACCCUAUGUCAAAACUGACCAAAAUGUUCUUUUGCAUCAAUGCUCGUUUGACACCUCGACGAAACUGAUUUCCUUUGCCUCUUUGAACUGCAUGAUUUGCAAACAAAAAGAAACUAUUUUCUUGCUUCAAUAACUUUCUCAGCAGAUAGUAAGACAAGAGGCCAAGGUUUAUUAUAUAUACAGGCUUGUGCAAAUAAAUAUACUUUAGCUAGCUGAUUGUAACUGGGAGAGUCUCUGUAUAUGAGGAUCGGAGCUUAGUCGCAUUUAGGUUUAUGUACAUUGCAUGAAAAAAAAAACCAAUUUCUUUAAGACUUGAAUACAUUUUACACCUUCAUAUCACCCUAAAAUAAGCCAAGGUUUGUCAUAUUUGCUUUUGAAAUUAUUUCUGUUGAAUAUUUCACCACUGAAUUGCUGUUGGCACCUCUCUUACGUGGAACUCGCUAAACUACAUGGCUUUGACUGAAAUCAAAUUCUUUUACUAUACAAGUUGUCAUAUUCUUUAUUCCCAAAUAGAAAUGAGUUAGCUUAUUUACUUGAAAUUCUUUAUUGUGAUUGUUCUUCAUCUUCAACAAUCAGGGAAAAGUCAAGGAUUACUCUAUCAAUAAAGCAGUUAGAGGAUGAUCCUCUUCUUGAGACAUUGGAGAAAGUGAUUCCUCAGGUUGGUUUAUGUCCAAAUGAGCUAUAUUUGUGGUUAUUUCUGCAUAUCAAGCCUAGUUUGGUGAUGUGGUGUCUAAAAGCACCAUUUUCAUAUUAUAGAAGGUAAGAAAAAUCCAAAAACGCUUACGAUCUUCUCUUCUCCAAUGCUUUAAAAUUUCUGUUGCAACUGAAAUUUAAUAAUACAAAAGAAAGGAAGAUUGAAAAUGCUUUCUAAAUUUUGGGCCUUAUGUAGUAUAAUAAAUAGAGAAUAACCCAAGCUUCGUGGGAGGAUGUAAUAAUAUGACUAUAUCGUUAUAUUUAUUUAUCAAAGCAUAUAUACAAACACACACACACACACACACACACACAAACACACACAAAUAGAUAUAAUAAUCAAAUUAUUUUACUUAAAUAAAAUACUCGCUGUUUUAUUUUCCAAUUAUUUCUUCAAAGCAAAGGAAUUAUACAGUACGAAAUAACAUAAAACAGACUAAUUUUAUUCUAAUAAAUAGAUAUGGGCUUUCCGCUUAAAUUGUCCCCUUUUGUUUGGGAAAGAUAUGAGAUAUUGGAAUCAGAUUGAUUUCAUUCCCAUUUGAGCGCCCCCCCGAUCAGUGCAAUGGGAUGUGUCUAUUUAUCUAUCUCUUGACUCGAAAUGGGAGCAGGUUUGAAAAAGGAUCUUAGAGUGUCUAGGGUUGGGCUAGGAGGGUCUCUUAACUCCUUCUUUUUCCUUCCCAUCGGAGUUAUAAUCUACUGCAAUAAUAUAUAGUUUGUAAUGCAGAUAUGAACAACAAAACAUAUUUCAUAUUAUGGAUGAUCUAUUCAACUUUAUUUCUUGUCGGUGUUAAUUCUACUUGUCCCUUUUCUGACCUUCGAACUACAUACAUAUAGAUAAUAUUUUAGAUAUAUGUUGAAAUAAGCAUGAGAACUAUUAAGUUAGUAAAAAAAAAUUAAUAAUUGUAAACAUCAUCUUUUGGUCAAACCAGAUGCUUGAUUAGGUAAAUCACAAUCGUCACCUGUCAUUAACUGAGGAUCAAAAGAGUCAUGAUAUCCUUCAUUUAUCUCAAAGUUUUAGUAGCUUAUUUAAUAUUAUAAUUAGAAUAAAAACUUUAGGAACUAAUACUACAAGCUUAAAAAACUGAAUGGGAAGCCUUGUUCUCUCACCUAAAUAAAGGUAGAAGAGGUGGACCACAUGCGGCCAUCCAAUGGCAAUGAACAUUAAGGGUUCACAUAUAUGUAGAGAGGCGAGGAAGAAAAAAUUACACGGCUAAAAGAAUAGAAGGGAACAAAAGAGAAUAUGCUCUGUACUAAACAAUCCCUUUGGAAAUGGAAAUCUUAGGAGGUCCCAUUGUAGAGAUGUACUCAAUUCUUGGAAAUAUUUAUUCAGUGGAUAUUUGGAUUAAAUGUAAUAAGUAUAUUUUUAUUAAACUAUUAACUUUCAUAGGAAAGUAAUUUUGAGACCACACCCAUGCGAACCCAUGUUCUAGCAUACACAUAUGUCUUAAAAACUCUUUCUCAAGAAGGCGGCAUGACUCAACCAUAGUACACCUACGGCUUCUCACUUAGUAUAGAGGUAUUAAUGGUGCUUUUAGCCACUUUUAGCGACUACAUUACCAAACUAGGCCUAAGUUGCUUGUGUUCUAAUAUUAUAUUGUUUAUAGGAGGACCAGCAAAUGCCUACAGCUCAGAGCUUGUCUUCCAGUACAAUUGAACCUCUUCCAGGACUUGAGAGCAUAUGCAAUGAGCUACUACAAGAGGAAGGGUGUGUUACCAGUCUGUCGCCAUUCUUAAAUUUAAUACAUAGUUGCUAAAGCUUGCAUACUUCCAUCAGUUAUCAGAUGUACUAGUAAUCCAGUAUAAUUUCUGAUGUUCCAAAAGUAGGAACUUGUAAAGAAAAAACCGUUACUUCCUGCCGAAAACGAUCUUUUGAUGCAAAUCAUCUGGUCUAACACUUUCUAAACUACAAAACAUUAUUGUUUAUCCUACUUUAGAUACUUUGACUUGUUUCUAUAGCCAGGAUUGUCACUUUAUAAGAGAUCAUUGGUUCUAUCUAAAAUCUAUACUUCCUUAUAUUAGCUGUUUCUAUCUUGAUAUGGCGGCCAAUACACUUCGUAGGUUAGAUAAUUUUUGGAUACUCUGCUUGGGCUUGACCUAGUUUAACUUGGCUAUUGACAAUCACACAUAUCGUGAAUGAUUAGCAUCGUCCAACUUUAUACUUCCUUUUUUUCUUUUUUUUCUUUUUUAACUAAAGCUGUAUUAAACUUUUCGAUGUCAUGUAUUUUGUAAUACAGGAAAUAUCUUUGGCCUGGUAAAGUAAGCUUAGAAAUAUACGACUGAAAUUCAAUUUCUACUUUCUGCCUGAUAGCAAAUUUUGUGUGACACAAUUUUGUGUGAAUGUGUGUCGUGUAAUUGUAUUGUAGAAGGCCUCCUCUCAUUUUAUGCUAAGAAUGUGGAACUUCCUAUUGUGUGCACAGCAUAACUGAUGUACAGCUUGGACGCCAAGGAUUGGAGAAGCGUGUUGUCUCACAAGAUUUGGAGCUUUGGCUUUCCAAUGUAAGAGGCCAUCUCAUCUUAAGAUUAGAUUCCUUUUACUAAUAAACUUCAAAGAGUUAAACAAAUAUGGGCUGAGAUGUUAAUGCUGUUCUUACCUAGGUACCAGCCAAGGACAAACAAUUCACACUGCUUGCUCGAGCUGGACGGCAGGUUAGUGUUUGUUGAUUUCAAGGAUUUAAGUGUCCAUCAGCAUGGGUUGUGCCUAUCAAAUCUUCUUUUUUGUGAAAUUAGUUAGGUGUUAAUUCAAUAAAGUACAAAAGAUUUGAUAAAAAUUAUAAUAAGCUAUUAUAAUAUGUUGGUGCCAAAGAAAUUUAUUUCAUGCUAUAGUGUGCCUCGGCACACAGGUACUUUUGUGAUUGUAAUGCAGCGUGCCGGCAUGGUAAAAAGCGUGCUGCUCCGUGUCAACAAGUUUUUGGCAUGAUCCCAUGCCAUGGCACUUAGAUUUUUAGUUGAUUUGUUAGGAAGGUUCAAUCUCUACAUUAUGCCUAAAGACUAAAGCGACUUCAAUGCAACAUAAUGAGGCUUUCAGUUUAAAUAUUUACAAUCUCUACAUUAUGCCUGUAGUGACUUCAAUGCAACAUAAUGAAGCUUUCAGUUUAAAUAAUUCCAUAACUAGUCUUUGAAACUUAGAAAUGGCGCUUAGAAUCCAUCUGGUGUCAAACUCAGUUGUUCUGGUAUUCUAAUUGUGCUUCUCCCAUUUUCUGUGCUCAUUGAAAUUGUAACGACACGACCCGUCAGCAAUAAUAACUCAUUGGGCCCAAACCACCAACCCAAAAUGCUUACGUCUAGUUAUUAUUACUAGCGUGGAAGCCUCUUACAGUGCAAAUCAGAACCCCUUUUCCAUCCAAUGUGGGACUAUUGAGCGUUACAGACUCCCCCUAUUUAAACACUGACGUCAUCGUCAGGUCCAAACCCAGAUUACAGACAGACCGGAAUUACCAGGCGAUGUGUUUAAAUGUGGCUCCUACGGGUUCAAGAUGUGGCUCCCACCAAAUCCGUUGGUAUAGCACUUUGCCUCGCAUAGCUUUAACUCUCACGUUUCUAACUGGUAUUCGGCUCUUAUACAAAUUGUAACCACCCGGCCCGCUACCAAUAAUAACUCGUUGGACCCAAACCACUAGCCCAAAAUGCUUAGGCCAGUUAUUAUUAAUAGACCAGAAUUACCAAACAAUCACAGAUCACAGACAUAAACUAGAAUUACCAGGCGAUGUGAGAUUCUAAAGGUGGCUCCUACGAGUUCAAGAGGUGGCUCCCAUCAAUUCCGUUGGUGUAGCACUUUGCCCUACAUAACAUUUAGCUCUUACUCUUCUGGCUAGUAUUCAACUCUGAUACCAAUUGUAACGACUCAGCCCGCUAGCAAUAAUAACUAGUUGGACCCAAACCACAGAACCAAAAUGCUUAUGCUCAGUUAUUAUUAUACAAACUGUUCAAACCCAGAUCACAGACAGACUAGAAUUAUCAGGUGACGUGAGAUUCUAGAGAUGGCUCCUACGGGUUCAAGAGAUGGCUCCCAUCAAAUCCGUUGGUGUAGCACUUUGUCUCGCAUAGCACUUAGCUCUCAUACUUUCGGCUGGUAUGCGGCUCUGAUACCAAUUGUAAUGAACUGAUCCGCUAGCAACAAUAACUCGUUGGGCCAAAAUCACCAGCCCAAAAUACUUAAACUCAAUUAUUAUUACUAGUAUAGAGGCCUCUUAUUUACCAAAUCAGAAUCUUUUUUCAUCUGAUAUAGGACUAUUGUGGCGUUACAGCCACCCCCCAUUUAGACCCUGACGUCCUCGUCAAAUCUAAACCCAGGUUACAAACAGACUAGGAAUUACCAGGCGAUGUGAGAUUCUAAGGGCGUGUUUGGUUCGCCUCUUUUUCACCCUGGAAUCGGAAUCGGAAUGGACGAAUCCGUUUGUCCGUAUUUUGUAUGCAGGAUUCUCAUUCCGAUUCUGAUUCCCGGGUGAAUGGGAAUCCCCCCAAUUACCCUCGUUUCCAAUCCGGAUUGGAUUCCUAGGCCGAAUUGGAAAUUGAAUCCGAGCGGAAUGAAUUUUUGUUCGGAUUAAAUUUAACUUUUUUAAACUUAUUUUUUAAUUAAAAUAUAAGUUUAAGUUUAAAAAUUAUAUUUAUAAAUUUUAAUUUUAAUUUGAAAUUAAAUAAAAAAUUAAAAUUCAAUCAAACAUUUUGAAUCAAAUUUAUAAAUAUGAAUUUACAUUUAAAUUUAACUUAAAAUUUAAAGUUUUAUUCAAAUUUUAUUUAAAUUUAAAUUAAUUUUAUGGAUUCAAAUUGAAAUUAUAAUUUUAAAUUUGAAUUUGAAUAAAUCAAAAUUUAGUUUUAUAUUUGGAAUUAUCCGUUCAAUUUCAAAUUUUAAUUUUUUUAAAAAAUAUACUUAAAAUUUUGACAUCAUGUUAAAAUUUGACGUAAAUUUUUAAUACUUAAUUUUCAGUUUGAAUUUAAACUAGUAUAUUAUAAAGAUAAAAUUGACAUAUUAAUUUGAUUACUUUUCUGUUUGCUAUCUGAACAAAACACCGACAAUAAGAAUAGUUCAUUUCGAUUCCGAUUUAGGCGACGAACCAAACAGAAUGAGAUAAUGAAUCAUUCCGAUUUCGUUUCCAGCUUAUUCUCACUCCGAUUUCGAUACCGAUUUUGACUUUGAACCAAACACACUCUAAAGGUGGCUCAUACGGGUUCAAGAGGUGGCUUUCACCAAAUUCGUUAGUAUAGCACUUUGUCCCGCAUAGCACUUAGCUCUCACACUUUUUGGCUGGUAUUCGUCUCUGAUACCAAUUGUAAAAAUCCGACCCGCUAGCAAUAAUAACUCGGUGGGCCCAAACCACCGGCCCAAAAUGCUUAAGUCCAAUUAUUAUUACUCGCGUGGAGACUUCCUAUAUUCCAAAUCAAAACCCCUUUCCUAUGCGAUGUGGGACUAACAGGGCGUUACAGACUCCCCCCAUUUAGAUCCUGACAUUGUCGUUAGGUCUAAACCCAGAUUACAGACAGUCUAGAAUUAUCAAGCGAUGUGAAAUUCUAGAGGUGGUUCCUACGGGUUCAAGUAGUAUUUUGUACUGCAUAGUACUUAGCUCUCAUACUUUCGGCUGGUAUUCGGCUCUGAUACUAAUUGUAACAAACCGACCAGCCAGCAACAAUAACUCGUUGGGCCAAAACCACCGACCCAAACGCUUACGCUCAGUUAUUAUUACUAGCGUAAAGGCCUCUUAUAUACCAAAUCAGAACUCUUUUUCAUCUAAUGUGGGACUGUUUGGGCAGUACAGAUUCCCCCUAUUUAGACCCUGGCAUCCUCGUCAUGUCCAAACCUAGAGACUCCCCUCAUUUAGACCCUGACGUCCUCGUCAAGUCCAAACCCAGAGACUCCCUCUAUUUAGACCCUAACGUCCUCGUCAGGUCCAACAGAUGAACCAAAAUUAUCAAGCGAUGUGAGAUUCUAAAGGCAGCUUCUACGAGUUUAAGAGGUAGCUCCCACCAAAUCUGUUGGUAUAGCACUUUCUCCCGCAUACCACUUAGCUCUCACACUUCCAGCAGGUAUUCGUCUCUGAUACGAAUUGUAACAUCCAGAUCCGCUAGCAACAAUAACUCGUUGAGCCCAACCACCUUCCCAAAAUGUUUAAGUCCAAUUAUUAUUACUAGCGUAGAAGCCUUUUAUAUAUCAAAUCAGAACUCAUUUUCCAUCUAAUGGGACUAUUGGAGCGUUGCAGAAAUCACCCACCACAAUCCUAAUUACAAUCACAAACACUUGAAAUAGCUGCAGCGCAUUGCAAUCCAAAUAAAGUAAAUGACCGAUACUUUUUAGUGAAUCUAAAGAUGAAACUCUUCCUUUGUUGCAGGUCCAAGAGGUCCAUUUGACAACUACACUUAACCAGGAUGGCAUAAAGAAAGCCGUGCAACGAGUAUUAGGACGUGUUCCAUGAGCUCGCCAGGUGCAACGUGUUCAUAAGGUGUGAUCUGUUUCUCUAUAUUUUCUGAUGCUUGUGCAUGCGCCUGCUCCACAGUCCACACACUUCACAAGAAUUGUGCGGUGAACUAGGUAUCGUCAGCAGAAAUAUGAGCUCCGUGCUCGUACCAGUUCGUCAGAAAAAAAAAAAAAACUUUCAAUUAAGCUUUUCAUAUUUUGUGAAAAAUAGAUGUGUAUUAUUUGCAUUGGAGAUUGUGGAUCUCAGUUCAACUGUUCUUGUGAACUCUCAUAAACAAUCUACUCAUCAAAGGGAGGAGAUUCAAAUUUUGAUCCUCUUUCUUAUACUUGCUUUUGCUGCUCAUUAUAGUUGCUGAUGUUAAGUUGCAUCAUUCUCACAUUUAUGGUGUUUUAAGUUUCUGGUGGUUGCAGAAUCUUCAGUCAAAUUGUCCUAAACAUAUUUUCAAAUUAUCUAGAAUGGGGAUCCUUGUAUUAUAUGGAUUGAAUAAUCUGAAACUUUAUGCCUACAGAAGCAUGAAAGAAAUGAGUGAUGAAUAGGCAUGAGGCAUGGAAAAUGAUACAAGAGACAUGCAAAUCAUAUUUUCCUCGAAAUAGAAAGUCUAGAUAAUCACAUGUACUAACUGUGACAGAUCAAAGCAGAUUUUUGUACUAUUGUACCAUGAGAAGGCUUUUUCGCGCAGCAUAUUUUAUUUUAUUUUUCACAAUUUGGUAGACAUGUAGCUGUUCUUCCCCCCUUUUUUUAAUUGAGAUAUGUUACUUGUACAUCUGAAAAAUUGGUGUAAAUUUUACAUUUCUCAAUCCAAGAGUUUAAACAAUCUUUUUGGAUGUUUAAUAUGAAAAAAGGAUUGAUAAAAAUAGUGCAAAAUAUUAGUCCUUGUAUGGAGAGGUUGAUUUACACCCAUUUUACAACUUUAUAGGUAGAAUUGCUUUUUAUUAGCCAGUUUGCACAAAAAAAUUCAUUGAUUUUGUAUUUUUCUAAAAGUAUUCCACUUUUUAGGUUCUGCAGAUAAGGUCCGGCUUUUUCGUGAACAGACCAAUAUACUCGUAUUCCUCUUUCUCUCUCGUCUGUUUUUUUUUUCCUUCCUCGUCAUCCUCAACGUUUCUUCCUCUAUUUCUCCUCUGCUUCCUCUCCCUCGUCGAUCGAUCGUUCCCACGUCGACAUCACGCUCUUCUCUUCUACCUCAUCUAUACCUCUACCAACACAACACAAGUGGCGACGUUGUGGGCUCGGAUAUGAUGCAAUUCGCAGAUGUGACGUUGUGAUGAAGGGUGUGGCCAUGGAAAGUGAGGGCGACAAGAGUGCUAAAGAUUUGAGGACGACGUAGAGGAAGAGCGGAGUGGGGCGGGGAUGACGACUAUGGUAGAGGGCGAGGGAGAGGGUGUCGGUAGUUAAAAAGAAUACAAAGGAUGAAAAAGAAAGAAGAAAAAAAAAAGAAAAAAAAAGAAUAUGCAUUUUGUCCUUCUUCUGGGAGGUCAUCAUGCUUCUGAGCCACUGCAAUGAAUAAAUGUCAAUUUGAGACUAAGUUAUACUAUUUGAAAUUAAGUUGUAUCACAAAAAAUAAAAAUUAUAUUGUUUAAGACUAAGCUACACUGGUUGAGACUUAGUUACACUGUUUGAAUUUAAGUUGCAUAAUUUGAAACUAUAUGAGACCAAAUUACACGAAAAAAAAUAGAAGUUGCACUAUUUGUGCAACUUCUUGAAUACUGCAACUUCAACUUUUAUUUUUUGUGUUGCAAUUUAGUUUUAAAUAAUUUUAAACGAUGCAACUUAGCCUUAAAUAAUAUAAUUUAGUUGUGCAACUUCUGCUUCUUUCUCUUUUUUUUCUCUACUUCUUAGUCUUUUCUAUGGCAGCCAUGCAUAUGAUGCAAUUUCCAAGAGAAAAAAAAAAUAUUUUUUCUAUUUCUUUCACCCUCAGCAUUUUUUUUUUUUGCUACCGCUUUCCUUCCCUGGCCCUUUGUCGCCAUCCCCGCCCGCAUGUACUUUCCUUUUCUGUCGUCCUCAAAUCAUACGAAGAGGAUUUUGCAGCAUCCUUAUCGUUAUUGCUGCCCAUAACCACACCCCUCCGCUGCAACUUCACAUCCGUAUUAUAUACCAUAUUCGAGUCCACGUUACCAUCGUUGGUGUCGGCAAAGAUGUGAUAAAAUAGGAGAGAGAAGUACGGCAUCGAUAUGAAGGCGGUGGAGGAGGAGGAGGAAGAGGAAGCGGAGGAGAAAGAAAGGAAGGAAUGGCAUGAAAGUGAGAGACAAAGCCGAAAGAGAAAAAUGAACGAGAGAGAGAGAGAGAGAGAGAGAGAGAGGGAGAGAGAGAGAGGAGAAAGAAAGAAAAAUAAAGAUGUUUCAAUCAGUUGUAUCAUUGACUUUAAAAUUUAAAAUGCAUAAUUUGUCUUUAGUGAUUUAGUUAGUAUAUUUAACAUAAAUAAUUAUUAAUUUACCCAAAAUAAAAUAAAAAACAAAAGUUUGCCAUGUUUUUUUUCUAAAACAUAUGCUUUUUGGCAUCCAAUCGGUUUACAAUUAGAAGGUAGCUAAUAAUAAUGAUAAGAAACAAUAAUAAAAUAGAUUUUCCUCCCUCGUUUAACAUUAAUGUAACAACUAAACUAAAUAUACAUUUAGGAAGUGCCCCUGGUGAUAUAGUUCUCCAAAAUUCACAAUAAAACUCUUUCCAACUUGCACACCAGGAGAAAAUGCAAAGAAAGAAUAUAUACACACAAACUAGAGUUCGUCAUGGACCUCUCCCUUGGAAAAAAGAUUACUUGUGCCAUGCUUUUCAUGAAGAUACCUCAUGGCGAGAGCCGCGUGAAGGGCUGCGCCGUACGGGAGCGCCUCCUCGUUGACGGUGAAGAACGGGGAGUGCGGGGUAUACUGCAGCAGGCCGAUCGCUCCGUCGCUCAUCCCCACAAAGUAGUAGAACGUGGCCGGCACGGCUUCGGAGAAGAAGGCGAAGUCCUCCGCCCCCAUCACCGGCUUCCUGUCCCUCACAUUAUCGGGGCCGAGCAUUUCCCUGGCCACCUUCCUGAAGUGCCCAUACAGACCUUCAUCGUUGACAGUCGGGGGGAAGAACGUGCGUUCUUCGUCGAAGAAGCUCACGGUGGCGUUGCAUCUUUGCACGGAUGCUUGCGAAACAAUGACCUGCCGUUACGAGAAUCGAGAACAUUAGUUUCUCAUCUAACUCGUAGUGUUGAAAUAUAACAUGCGAGGGUUGCUACUUUCUUAUAGCUUGAGCACCAGAUACAAGAACUGGCGCUUGGAUCCACAAGUUUGAGAGAGAAGUUGUAGAGUAAUAAUAGAUUGCAUCGCAAAAUUUUAGCAGCCAUUUUUUGUUUUUGAAGAUAUUAGUACAGAACAUACUUAUAUAUUAUCUCAGAAAUAAAACCAAAGAGAUAGUCCAAUAUACAUAUUCAUUUACGGUGCAACCAAAUCCCCUUCUAAGGUAACCGAAGGAAGAGCGGCGAGAGCCUUCAAUAUAUGUAUGAAGCCAACUUUUGAUAUCAGAACAGGAGGGAAUCCAUAGCAAGUUUGUAAGGUAUUUUCUUUCCUUAAAGUGAGUGUAAUGCAGUUAACAUGGCUAGUUCCAAUGAUGAUUUAAUAAAUAAACUAAAAUUGUGUCGGGUUAAGUUCAUAGAUAUUGGCAUAAAUGACAUCAAUUGUUCAUUAGACUAUAACUGAUUUACGUGACAGUUGGUUGAAACACUUAAGCUAGAUGACGAUCAGAACCGUCUUAAAGCAUCAUUUAAUUAUUGGGAAGCAAAUGGGGACAAAGUCGCGUUGAAUAUUAUUAUACUAGUUGUGUCAUACCUCCUCUAUUCGUCGCUUCAGUUGCGAAAAGCUUUCCUUCGAAAAGGCUCGGAAAGUGCCGCCAAUGGUAACAGAAUCGGGAAUAACAUUAAAUGCUCCACCUCCUUGGAAUUUUGCAACUGUUACCACCUGAAAUGGAUAACAUGGAAUCAACCUUCCAUCAAGGAUAACAAGAAAUUUGUUGAUUAUAACCAAAGUUUAAUUUGAAGCACAAAAAUUCAGUGCCCAUCCCCACCCCAAAAGAAGGAAAAGGAAGAAAUAUUCCUAGGUUCAAGCCUGGAUCAUGAAUUUCAGCUUCAACAACCGGUCACCAUCUUUCGCUCGUCUUGUAACCAUGUUUUCCUUAGGAAUAUGACAUCAAUUUUCGGGCUUAUGUAUCAAGUAGAGCAUGUGGGGUAUAUUUAUUAGACAAGAUGAAGUUUAAAAGUCAUAUUUGAAGUUUUGUGUAUAUUUAUUAGACAAGAUGAAGUUUAAAAGUCAUAUUUGAAGUUUUACAAACAGGUUGAGGCCCUUGCCCUCAGGAAAAAAAAAUUAAUGUUGUUAAAAACAUUAUAUUAUAUCUAAAUCAAUAGAUAGUGAAAAACUUUUGAUUAUGUGAGAAAUAUUAUGACUUCAAGUAGAGCUUUUAUUUGAAAACUCAAAGCUCAUAAAUUCCAAAUUUCUCUCUAACCACAACCUGGUGACCCACAAACCCUUUAAAAUAACAGCUCUCAGUGAGGUUAAGCUUGUGAAAAAAUAGACAUAUCAGUCAGCAAACCAUGCAUAGAACUAUAGAAGGUUAAAAGUUGAAGAAAAUAAAUCAUGAAAUCCACCAUAAGAUGUACAAUCUUCAAGCUAAACUUAAAUAGAGCACUUUUAAUUUCUAACAAGAACUCUACAUAAUAAGGCUGACACCAAUCUAAAUGGACGCCAAGACAGAAAGCAUUAGCGUGUUUUGUAGUUUAGGAGACAAUUAUCUCGUCAAGAGCAUUUAGGUAAAACAACAAUCAAAGAGAAAUGAAUUUAUCUUUUACUCGAUGUACCCUCUGGGAGAAUAUAAAGGAUAUACCAGAGAGACUAAGUGAUAACAAAAUGAGUAAAAAACAACCCAAGUGCCAGAACGAAAAACACAAGUCUGUGUAAUGAGAACAUGCAAAAAAUAAGUACCUGCGAAUCCAAGGGAUCAGCUUCACGCGAAACGAGAUGUUGCAAGCUAACAAUCACAUUCGACGCAGCUACGAUUGGAUCUAUUGCAUGCUGAGGAAUUGCAGCGUGACCUCCUUUUCCGCUUAUUACAGCCUCAAAGAACCCACUACCAGCCAUAAUAGGGCCGGGCCUGGAUGCCACCGUGCCGAUAGGUAGAUCACCAGUUAUGUGAAACCCGAAAAUAGCGUCAACAUUUUUGACAGCUCCGUCUUCUAUCAUUUUCUUUGCGCCGCCGCCUCCUUCUUCAGCUGGUUGGAAAAGGAGAAGGACCGUUCCCUAUUUAGAGAACAGUCCAAAUUAUGAAGCAAUUUUCAUAACAUAACAUACCACUAUCUAGUGCCUUCCCAAAACAAAAAGGGGAAAAAAGAGACUCUUUUUAUUUUGUUCCACAUGUAACUAUCGAAAGAAAUAUCAAAUCUAAUCCUAAUUAUACAAUAUUUCUCCCGAAAUAUUGUGAACAAGAAAAACAAUAAAAAGAAGUGGAAUUUCUGUUAGAAGAUCACUGCAGCAAAUGAAUGAUAGGUUAAAGGAAGAAAGCUCAAAUAACAAAAUCACUGAGAAGUUAAAGAAGAUAUUUAAGUCCUCACAACCUGGUGACACAGAAUAAAUAGGAAGUAAGGUUCUUUAGAUCAAACAGAUCAUACAAGAGCUAAUUAUACUUGUGCACUUGUUUUACACAAGCUACCUAAUGGAAAGCCUCCUUUAAUGGGGUGUACGGUUGGCUGCUGAAUGAGGAAGAACAAAGAUGAAAGGGUAGAGUUAGUUGUUUUGAGUUUUAUGAAGAAAGCGAAAGUGACGGAGUAGAAGAAAUUUUGAAUUAAUCCAGCUGAUGUACAUUUUCUUACUUUAUAACUUGAAAAAUCUGACUCAAUAAAAGUAAGCCCCAAGACUUGUAAAAUACCACCUAUCCAACUUUUAAAUAUUUAAUUACCCACGCAUUUUAUUCAUGCCUAUUUUCUAAUCAUUUGUUGUCCCUUGAGUAAUUGAACAAUCGCCAUGAUCACCACCUUUUAAUUAGACCAGAAAUCUAAUUUCUUACAAGAGGGAAUCCGGGAAACAUCAUGACUCCAAUAUUUCAUUUUUCAAAUUUAUUCCUUUAUACAGAGUCUAGCGAACCAGAUGAUCUAACACAGAGGCAUAAAUAAAUAUAAAACAAAAAAUUGUGGAGUGUUUCACAUAGGUGGUGGCCCUGCAAAACCUAGAAACUAGGGCCAAUUGAAAUUUAGGACACUAUAAUCAGUCACAUGAGGUUGUACACCAAUAAUGCACAUAUAAAAUAAUAUACAUCUACACACUCCUGGGAAGAGACCUCUUAUCAUUUACGACAUAAACAUAAGCAAAUUGGAAGGAGUGCCAUUGAACUAUAUGAUAUCAAACAUGAAUGCCUUUUAUGAUGCCUCGAAGAAAUGAUCAAGAAAACAAUUAACAAGGAAAUCAAGUAAACUAAUAAUAGAGAAAAGGAAUCUUCUGAAUAGAUUACUAUAGUUCAUGAAAGUGGGCAGAUUCAUCCAUCCAAAUUUUUAUUUAAAGAAAUACUUGAAGACGACAGAACAAUAUUAUACCUUGCAAGCAGUGUAUUUUUAAAUCUGUGUGUUCUUACUUAGAAAACAUAAAAGUAGUAAACUAGAUUCCGAUCUCUAAGACAAUUCGAAAAGAUUAAUAUCAACCUGCAACUCAUCGCGAUGCUCCUGAAGAAUCUUAGCGGCGCCCAGCAACAUCGCGACAUGUGCAUCGUGUCCACAUGCAUGCAUCUUCCCGGGAACUUUACUCUUGUGCUCCCACUCCACAUUCUCCUAUCCAUUCAAACAAAGUUGGUAAAUUUCCACAACAAAAACAUCAAAUAAAACUAAAAACUGAAUGAGUAGGGAUCAAUUUAUAGCAAAAGAAAAAAAAAGUUAAAAAGUCCAAAAUCAGGAGGAAAGAAAAAAAAAGGGGUGGGUGAUGUAUUCCAUAUCAAAAUUUUGACCAUGAUAGCAAUCAUGAAUGAAAGGAAAAUAAAGAAUUACAUUUGAAAAAAAAAAAGGAAUAAAAAAAAAAAAAAAAAAAAAAAAAAUCCAUCCAAAAUACAGUAACUUCCACAUAUAAAAAGAAAAGAACCACAAAAAUUAAAAAUAAAAAACAAAGAAUAAAUGGAGAGGGAUAGGUAAAAAUUUAUGGAGAGCCUCGAAUACAGCCAUUUUGAAAUGGUUCCUUCAAAACUAUUGACACUUCUUGAAUCUUCAUUUGUUUUAAUAUGAAUUUUUUUAAUCAAUUAAAUAAAAAUUGUUAAAAUAUUUAGCUAUUGAUUAUUAUUUAUUAAUGAAAAUUUUACUUUCUUCAUCUAAAAACAGUCAGAGGUGUGAAAUUUUGAUGAACUGAGUGAUGAACAAAAAAAAACUCUUAAUUCAAUUAAUUAAGAUACUUAAAAUCCAAUCAAAUAAAAAUUAAAUAGGUGUUAAAAUGAAAGAUUUAGUUAAAAUUAAUGGUUCAAUUAACUACUAAUCAUAUAUUAGUAACAAAAUUCAUAUUUUAAACGCGAAAAAUUGAUGGAAAUGACCAAAAGAGUAAUUUAAAGAAAUUCCCAUAAUUCAAUUGCCUGAAGCAACUUAAAUCAAAGAAAAUACAAGUUCAUAACGUUCAGGGGCUUUCUCAAAAAAAUUCUAUAGGUGAGGGGGUGCUCCAUGAUUUUGAUUUUACCAAGAAAAGAAAAAGAUGAAAAAAGAAGAGAAAUUAAAACAGAGUUAAAAGUGUAUGGAGACUCGCUCCACAAAUUCUGAAAGAAACCCCACAAUUUUUUUUUUUUUGUUUUGUUUUGGAUUAACUUCUAAUUUGAACUUUUACACUCAAUUAGGUUAAAAAUUUUAACAAAUUUAAUGAUUCUAUUAGUUAUUAAUCAUUAAUUAGCCUAAUCGUACUAAAAAAAAUGGUUAAAGUCAAUAAAUUUGAUAAAAUUUCUAAAUUUUUUAAUUAAAAGCUGCUUAAUUCAAAAAAUUAGAAGUUGCGGAGUCUACACCCAAAAAAAUUAGUUGAGGGGGUCUCUCUCUAUACAUCUUUACCUUAAAACUUCAAAAAAAAAAAAAAAAAAAAAAAAAAAAAAAAAAAAGAAAAAAAGCCUUUUCGUGUGAAUUUGCAACAACAGGGCAUUUUUUUGUUUUACAACUUUCCAUUUUUUUUUUUUUUUAACUUCAGGACCAAAUUUCCAAGCACCAAUGUUGAUCUGUUUCCUUAAUCGAANAAAAAAAAGGAAAAAGAAGAGGGGGGGGAGGGGACCUGGAUGGCUAGGGCAUCCAUAUCGGCGCGAAGGGCGACGAAAGGGGGCUCGCCGGAGCCGACGCGGGCGACGACGCCGGUGACGGCGCAGGGGUGGUCGUAGGGGAUCCCCAUGGCGUCGAGCUCCUUCCUCACGAGCUCGCUCGUGGCGACCUCCUCGUACCCGAGCUCCGGGUUCUCGUGGAUCCGCCUCCGCACGCGCACCAUCCACUCCGCCACCUCCGCCUCCCUCGCGCGCCGCAGCAACCCCGCCGGAUCCUCCUCCUCCUCCGCCGCCGCCGCCGAUGACGGCGCCCCAGAGCUAAUGGGGGCGGCGACCGAGAGGAGCACUAGGUGGAGAACGAGCAGGACGAGGAAGAGCAACGAAGAGGGGAAAUCCAUGGUGUUGGGGGCGAUCGGGGACUCGGGGUUUGAGCACUCUCCCUUCGAUCUGGAGAGAGAGAGAGAGAGGGGGGAAGAGGCUCUUUGUUGAGGGAAUUUUUUUCUUUUUUUUUUAUUUUAACUUUUCCUGGUAUAUUUAUAUAGAAGGGAGUGAAAUUUCUGGAUAGUCCUCGAAUAAUUCCUAUAUUGUAACAGGCUUCUUAUUCUUUCUCAUAUAUAUAAUUUUUUUUUUGGAUAAGAACAACUGAACAAGUGACACCACAGCAGAUCGAUUCGUCCCAACGCUGCUGCCCUGCUCGUUUUCUCCCAACAAUCCGAUAAUACCAUCUUAAUCUAUCAUACUCAAAUUUUUUUUUAAAAAAAAUAUAUUAAAAAAAUAUCGUUUUAAAAUUGGAAAAUUAUCUUAUUUUUGUAGAAAAAACAAUCUUAUCCACAAGACGCACGGAUCAGCCGUAAGUACAAAAUUUUUCUAUUCACAUAGACAGAAUCUUUCUUAUAUUUGCAUGACGUACUAACCAUAUACAUCCACGUAUACACAGACAACUCACAAUAUACAUUCAAUCAUAUGCAUGUGUCCAUACAACCAGUCAUUUUUAUAAAUAAUUAUAUACUCUACACACUCCUUAGACACUGAAUGACAUAAUGCAUAAUGCAUCAAGUAUUCUACCGCUUAAAAAUAUUUUCAACCCGCAAGUUUUAUUUGAGAUUCUAAAUAAAUAGUAAGCCGAAAACCAUUUCAAAAAGUAUUUUGAAAAUCGUUUCUCAUAAUUCUCCACGUGUAAAAAUAUUAGAUAUUUUAUCUUCUGAAACCAAUACUUUUAAUAUUAUUGGACAUACAAUAACUUUUACAUAGAAAUAUUUAAAUUAUAUGAACUAUAAAUCAUUUUGAUUUGAAGUCAAUCAAUGAUACUUUGACUUAUAAUUUUGAAUGCAUCCUUUAUUUAGCAACUAAAUAAUACUCUGAACAAGCACUUGUCAUUAGACUUUAGUUUAUACUGUCACUUUAUUUUUGUUGUAAAAAUUAAAAAACCUAUUGAAAAAAUAUUUUCAAAAAUCGUGCAUGACUCGUAUGUAUUGCCAACCAAUCAAAAUCAAAAUCAAAAUUUUUUUUUAAAAAAGACUAAAUUACAAAAACUCCUCGUGUUAAAACUCGAUUUUUUACUUUUUUUUUUGUUACUUAAAAACCUACAUUUUGUCCCCUUAUAAAAUAAAAAAUAUUUACUUCACCCCCUAUCGUUAGUGAUCCGUCAGAGUUUCAUUAUAAAAUUCUUUUUAUGCCAAAAAUACGCUCUGCCCUCUCUACUGUUGCUUCGCCCUCCUCCGCCUUGCAGCCUCGUCGCCUCGCCCUCGCUCACAUCUCUGUCCGCACCCAUAAACACCCCAUCGCCCUCCUCCGCCGCCUCGUCUGCGUCCUCGUUGUCCUUACCCACCACAAUUUCUUUCCCAUUGUCGUGAAAAUGGAGGGGCAACGAGGGUGCAAGCGGAGAAGGAGAGUAGGUGGAGAAGAAAAUUGAAAGAAACUGCGGCUGAUCGAGGCAGCUGAUGAGGAAGAUGAGAGAGGAGACGAAAAUGGUGAGGGGUAAAAUAGUGAUUUUGUCAUCACAGUUCACACCGUACCUCCCGUGAAUAUUUUUUAUUUUACAAGAAAACAAAGUAUAGGUUUUUAAAUGAUAAGAAAAAAAAAUAAAAAAUUGAAUUUUGACAGAAAGUUUUAUGUAAUUUAGCCUUUAAAAAAUUCAGAAUUUUCCAUUUUUGGGUCUUUACUGCUUUAUGAUUUGUCUGGUGGUUAGAACCGGUGCAGGGAACGGGAGCUGUCAUUGAGAAAGAAAUUAUAACUGCACCUCGUGUGCCUGCACUAUUAAACACUGUUAGAAUAAAUACCGCACAGAAAUCUGAUUGUGAGUUAAAUCUAACUAAAUCUUAUUAUGAAAAUAAAUAAAUCAACUUACAGAUGAUCAAUAAAUCCAAAUAAAUACUUAAUUGAUCCGGAAGCGUGCGAGGCACUGCCCUAAGGCGUAUUCCCGUCCUUACGUGCGGGAUUAACCGGAAACACCGCCCCAAGGUACGACUGGAAUUCCUCCUCCUGCGAGCACGAUCGUGAAGAAGGUUGACGGAGACUCUUUCAACACCCGAUGACAAAGAGAUUGAUCAAAAUAGAAUCUAAAAUAAAAUUUAAAUCAUUCUUUGCAAUGUUCAUGUAUAUCAAUGAACAGCAUGCAAAGGUAAAUAUAUAUAGAGGGGUUAUAUGGUGUAACAUUGGAAUCAACCCCAACGUACAAACCUUAUUAUGCACCCUUAAUUCAUGCUUUAAUGUGAAAUAAAGGAGGAAUAAAUUAAAUUUAAUACAUCCAAUUAAUUAACAUAAUAAAAGACAAUAAAUGUAAAUAAUUAUAAAAUUAAAUGAUAUUUAGAGAUUUUGGAUUUUUUCACCAACAAAUCCCCACAAAAUUCAAAAUCACAAAAGAAGAAUUAAACAAACAAAUAAAUAAAUCAUCAGGUGUUUAUACUAUGCAAUAGGCGAGGUGUCUUUAAGAGACUUAACCCCACUUAGUGUAAAUAGUUUCCAUAAGAAGGAAUCGGAGUGAACCAGGUCUUGAACUACGUUCCUUUGUCCCUGACUUCAACUAUCACACACACAGUACAGAAUUCUACGUCGCGGAUCUGUGCGUUAAUGGCCAUGCACAGUACCUUGAUUUUUCAUAAGAGUUUCUAUGUAUAGCCCAUUCACAUAGCCGCGGCCACAUACGGAUACUCUUAUAUAGGUGGUUUUAUCCAUGGAUGUGUGUAGAGUCACAUAUCGCGAAAAUUAUCACCUUGGAUCCCAUUGAGAGCUCUCAGCUCAACCUAAUCCACUACACAGAGCACUACUCACCAUAGGGAAGGGAUUGGAGCUAAAGCUCCUUUAUAUAAACUGUAGAAAGUGCUCUUUGGCCAACCUGACAGUUUGUUUUUACCACAUUGAACCUUCUUCAAAGGAUCUCCUAUCACAAAGGUUAGGUUCCCACUGCAGGAAGGCCCAUUAUGGGCAAGUCCCAUCCCCCUCGAUGACUCCAGGACCUUAGUCCUAUUCAGGCCUUUCGUCAAACAAUCUGCAAGAUUCUAAUCAGAUCUGAUAAAACUCAAAGAAACAAUGAAAAGUUAGCCAUCUAAUAAACUUUUGUCUCAACUUAAAUAUGUUUGUCAACUUUAGAAUUUACCAAAUUCUUUUCCAAAAUAAACAUUAAAAUUUAAAAAAAAAAAAGAAAACAAUCAUAAUGUCAAAAUUUAUCAAUAGAUAAAAGAUUUCCCCCCACAAGUUCUACGAUAUAUCAAAACUUAAAAUCAUGAGGUUAAUCAUGUCUAAUGGGGUUUGGUUCAACAGCAAAUAGAUGGCCUAAACAAUUUUUUAAAAUUUUAUCUCAAUUAGAUCUUUUCAUUACAAAAUAUAAUGCAAGCAAUAUGCAUCAAACAAAAUGAUUACAGUAAAGUGGUGCUGUUGGUUACACGACUUUGUUCAAAGACUGUGCUUAAACAAACUGUGGGUUUCAAAUCCCAAUAUUGAAACAAUAACAAUAAUAUUUAAUAAUAAAGCUUAAAGAAAUCUAACCUCUUUUUUUUUCAGAAAAAUCAGAAAAUAGUUUUUAUAUAUAUACACAAACGCAAAGAAAUCCACACACUAAAAAGUAUUUUACUGCAGCAAAAUUGUUUAAAAUUAAUUUUGCCAUAGCAAAGCUUUAUUAUUAAAUAUUAUUGUUANAAAAAUUUGAUAGCAAAAAGAGCGUUUUACUAUUAAUAGUAUUCCAGCCUAAUUCUAUAUAUAUAUAUAUAUAUAUAUAUAUAUAUAUAUAUUAUAUAAAUUUUAAUUACUAGAUUAAGAUUCUAUUUUUUUUUUUUUCAACUUUUCAACCACUAGUAUGGUUGACAAUCUAACACGCUGUUCACGAGCCAUUUCGUAUUCGACUUGUUAAUAAACAAGCCGAGCAUAAGCUGAUUUUUUUAGCUCAAUAUUUUGACCAGCUUACUCGUGUUCGCUCAUAUUCGGCUCAUUGACAACACCAGUUCUAUAAAUUAAUGAUUUAUAAUAAUAUUCGUUUCAGCUAUUUAAAUAAAAAAAAUUAUUGCAUGUACAUACAUACAUACACCGGGUGCAGGGAAUAAAAGACAAUGGCACGUGCGGAAUUAAACGCCGGUGGAGUUACGGCUGAUUACGUCAUCGGUGGGUGCAACCGUUACAUGUCACGUGGGGCCCGCAUGUCAGCUUCCGCAGCCCUAAUACCAACAAAGCGUUACACCGAACAAUUUCUCGCACGUGACACACGAGCUCGGCGACACGUGCGGAGAAUUGGGCACGCAAAAGUCUCAGAAACUCGCUAUUUAUUAACAGACGCAAUUCGUGUUGAAAAAAAAAGAUGAGACAUUAAAUUUAGUCAACGAAACAAAAAUCAAAACAAAUUUUGAUAAUGCUUGUUGUUUGCAGUAGAAAAUAUGACCACGGUACGGCACGGACACGGUCGCUUUCUCACCGUGACACACUACACGGGUCGCUUAUUCGAUUCAGAGUGAAUUACUGAAUCAUACUUAAGCGGCGAAAUUUGUAGAUUUGAUUUUUCUUUUAAUCGUUUCGAUUCUGUAAAUAAGUAGAUGUUUGAAAUAAAAGAAUAUAAUGAUUAAAUAAUUAGAGAGAUCUUAUUUUUAAGUAGUUUGAAAAGACUUAAACUAAAUAAAAAUAUUUUAGUAAAAUUGAAUGAACCACAAGCUGGGUCGACCGAUGCUCGCCAUUUUUUAUUAUUGCUUUCACAGGCUCCCGCCAACAUCAGCUCAAUCACACAUACAGUUUACGUCGCCUAGCGAUGUAAGGCUCAUCGACACUUUCGACUGGUGAAUCAGCUCCGAUAACAAAUGUAAUAGCCCCGCCCAUUAGCGAUUAGUAGUAGCAACUUAUUGAGUCCAAAUUACCGAUCCAAAAUGAUUAGUCCAGUUAUUAUUGUUAGGAUUCAUAGUCUUUUAUAUUUCUAGUUAAAAUUUCAUUUUCUUCUGAUAUGGAAUUAUCGUGUUUCACAGAUUUUAAUAAAGAUGUUUGUGAACAAGGUUGGAUCUGGAUAAUUUAUCAAUGUAUCUAUCGGAUCCACUUGAGUUCGUUUGGAUAACGACGAUCCGUAUAUUAUCAACUUAAAAUUGGAUACAGGUCGGGUAUAGAUUAAGUAUAAAUAUCUGUUUGCAUAUCGAUAAAAGUACAAAUAUUUAUUGCAUAAUAAGUUCCAAACAAGGAUAUAAAAUUGAGCAAAAAUUGUAUGAGCAUCGUUCCCAAACUAUCAGUUUGGGGAUGAUGCCCCCAUCCUCACCCUCCAUUCCUAUCCAUCAAUUUUUUUUCUUUCUCUCUCUAAAAAUUCACGCCGACAAUUUUUUCUUCUUUUUUUCCCGUUUUCGGCCGUGCGAUGGGCACAGAUGCCCAUACAAUUUUUGCCCUAUAAAAUUUGCAAUUGUUACAUAUGUACUAAUUACUCUAAAACACGUCCAACCACCACCCUAUACAAAGUACAAACACAAUAAUAUGACUGUUAAAUUUAUAUUGAUAAAUCCAAACAUGUACAAUAUGAUGAUAUAAAACACAUAUAACUAGUUAUAUAACAUACAAUAUGUAAGUCCAAAACACAGCCACCUACUACAAUAUAGUCAAAACACACAUACAAUGAGUCUAAAAUAUUAUAUCAAGUUUUUUUCUUCUUCUUCUCUUUUUAUAGCUUUUAACUUUUAAUGAUUGGAUAUUUUAUCAGGGUGGGGUUCGGGUUCGGAUUCGGGUGUAGGUCUAGAUAUAAAAACUAUUUCGGAUUCUACCCAUCAAAGGAUCGGAUCCGAGUUGGGUUCAAGUCAAAUAAAGAUAUAAGGUAUUCAGGUCCAUUCCUGAAACUCUAAAAGGUAAAUUUUUUUAUCCACAUGCUAUUCACUUUUAAUCGGUUCCGGACUACGUAUGAGUCAGGUCCGAAAAAGGUCCAGAUCGGAUACAGAAUAUGUAGUAUUUUAAACUUCUCUAGAGCUUAAUAUAUUUACAAUUUUUGAAAGGAACAAAUCAUAUAGCUAAAUUUAUUAGGAGGUUAAAUUACAAAAGAAAUAAUUUGGAAAUUUACAUUUUUAGAUUUGAUUUCUUUUUUUUGGAUCUGAGAUUUAUGAACCUUGUUGCUAGGCUUGGAUACAUACAAGUACCAUUGGACACCAUUUAAUGGUACAACAUUUAUCCAAUAAUAAUAGAAAAAUUACUAUUUAUACAUCCAAAAAAACGUGUAAAUCAUACGCCCUCUUAUUCUAGAGUUUAUAAAUUUUUUAAAAUUUUUAACAUAAAAAGAAAAAAAAAAUAUUGACAUGAGAAGGGCCUAUGGUCCCUAACUUUUUUUUUUUUUUGCUUUUUUAUUUUUUGCAAUCAGAUCUUUAACCUUCAUAAUUAAGUAUACGAAAUGAUCUUUAUCCUCUGCCUAUGAAGCGCAUCCAUCUUGUCAAGCCCAAUCUUACCACCCCCAAUGAUCUUUAUUAAGUUAGCGUGAACUAUUUCAUCAAAAUUAAUAAAAAUUUAGAUAGUUGAGAUCUAGCUGCAACAAAAUAUAAAGAUAAAUUAGAAAUCUAAAUAUUUAAGAACCAAAGUGAAAAACUAGGCAAAGGUCCACACUCUGUGUUGUAUUUGUAGGAGUUACAGGUUAGGGAACAUCGUGCAAUUACCUCCCCCAGGUUUCAAUAUGGAUGCAAAGAACCUGGGGGAGGUGCCCCGACUAUCAAAAUCCCACCCCGCCUCCUGUCCCGAAUUCGUAACUGGUUAAAAAAUAUAUUCCAUAAUCCGCCCCACCUCGUAACCUGCCUCCCGCUGGCGCCCGAAUCCGUCCCGCCAACUAAUUUUUUUUUUAUAAAAUUAUUAAUAUUUUAUAAAAUAUAAAUUAAUAAUUUUUAAUAAUAUUAUAUAUAUAUAUAAUUAAAAAUAUUAAUUAUAAAAAUUAAAAAUAUCAAUCACAAUUUUAAGCAAAAUUUAAAAAUUUUAAAUACAGGAGAAAUGAUAGCACUAAUUUAUUUGUAUUUUGAACUUUUUUUAUAAAUACAUUAUUUUUUAGAAAUAUUUUUUUAAAUAUAAAUAAUUUUUAGGGCAGAUUCGAGACGGAUUAUGGUGGUGCAGAUUCGGGGCAGGUCAAAAUUUCUUCCGUUUCCUACCCUAAAUCCAUUUCAGAUUAUAAAAAAUUAUUCCGUUUUUCACCCUGAAUUUAUUUAUUUUCUCUUAUUUACUGCUCAUUUGGGGCGGAUCGGGGCGGGAGCACUACGAACCUGAGAUGUAGGGACCAUUGUGCAAUUAAUUUGGAUCCUACCUAAGGACCAUGUGCAAUUAAUUUGGAUCCUCCCUGUUCCUAAAAGGCCUUUAAUGAGAUGUGUUGUAUUGGAAAAUUUACAUGAUGUUUUUAAUUGUGCUUGUAAAUUAGAAGAAUUUCUUUAUAUUACAUAUGUUAACAAAUCAAUAGCUCCUAAGGAAUAGUAUUUUAGUACAAUUCUUAAAAUUGUUAAAAAUGCCAACACUCACAUUAAAUUAUUAUUUGAUAUAGGAGUCCGGCUACUAUACUCUUAUGAGUACGAUCGCCUUCGUAUUCAUAAGUUGUUUUCGAUAAUAGAGCUUCUGAAUCGACGAUCCAUACCGUUAAACAUUAUCUAGAGAUUUUUAAAACUUAUAGAAAUCAGAUUUUAUAAAUUUUCGAUAUCAUUUACCUUAAGAUCAAAAGCUCACAAAAUUGACAGUUUUUAACGGUCAGUAUGAGAUAUUUGCUUGUUUAACGGUGUAAAAGAAUCGGAAUAGAUUGAAUUUUUGAUAGAAAAUUCUAUUCACUACCUAGAUAAAGAUUAAUAACUCCGAUCUUAAAUUGAAGGAUCUAAUCAUCUAUUUUUAUGAUGUCGUUUGAUUUUGACCGUUCAUUUUAUACCCGCUUGAUGGACUUUAUAAUGGUUUUAAAAAAUUACGAAAUUUAUUUUCUAAAAGUUUCAAAUACUCUAGAUCAUGUUUAACGGUGUGGAUCGUCGAUUCAAAAGCCCCAACAUCGAAAACAACUUAUAAGUACGAAAGGCUCUAUACUCAUAAGAGUAUAGUAGCCCUACUCUUGAUAUAGAUCAAAUAUAUAUGACCAAUUUGCAUAAAAAAUUCACAAGUUUUGAAUUUUUGUAAAAUUGGACCGUCUUUUUCGAUUUUGCAGAUUCGAACUGAAUUUUCAACAAACUGAUCAAAAUAUUUUUAUUCCUUUCUCUCUUUUCUUUUUUUCCUUCAGUUUUUUUUUUUCUCUCCAACCCUUAUCGCCUACUCCACCACCUCCGCCAUGUCGGCGACGGUAACGAGGGUGGCACCACAUCCUCUUCCUUCAUCUCCUCCUCUGCCAGCACCAACACUCCUCGGCGACGGUAACAAAGACAACACCGCCUCCUCCGCUUCAACCUCCGUCGGCUCCAGAGAAGCAGAAGGAGAACUCGAAGCGGGCCCAGAUAAGGGCGGAGCGGACGAAGGGUGGCACCACAUCCUCUUCCUUCAUCUCCUCCUCUGCCAGCACCAACACUCCUCGGCGACGGUAACAAAGACAACACCGCCUCCUCCGCUUCAACCUCCGUCGGCUCCAGAGAAGCAGAAGGAGAACUCGAAGCGGGCCCAGAUAAGGGCGGAGCGGACGAAGGGUGGCACCACAUCCUCUUCCUUCAUCUCCUCCUCUGCCAGCACCAACACUCCUCGGCGACGGUAACAANAGAUGGAGGGACACGGAGAGGGGAAGGGAAGAGGAGGGACAUGUGAGUUAUAAAAAAAGAAUGAUAUCUAAAGUAAAAAAAAAAAAAUAAAGAAAAAAUUUUUUCUCUCCAAAAGACUAUUAUAUAUCGUUACUGUUACCGAAAAGACUAAAAAUUAGAGAAAAAAAAAGAAGAAGAUGAAGAUUACACUGUUAAAAUAAAAUUGCAUUGUUUUAUAAGAAAAUUGCACUGUUUAAUAUGAACGUUAUACUCUUUGAGAUGAAAAUUAUAUUAUUUGAAAUAAAAAUUGUACUCUUUCGAUAAAAAUUAUAUUGUUUAAGAAAAAAUUGCACUAUUUUUCGACCAUCAUCGUCUCAUCAUCUUCUUCUUCCUCUUCCCUUAACCCCUUUCUCGCCCUCCACCUACGACCCCCAUCCUCACCAACGCAACCCUUUCUACCCUGUGCGCCACAUUGAAGUGCCGAAACGCGGAAACAACCUACCUUUCUUCCUCUUCUUUUUUUUUUUUUUUUUCCUUCGUUCUUUUUUUAACUCCAACCCUCAUCCACUCCUUCACCGCCUCCGCAGCCCUCGGCGACAGUAACAAGAGCAGCGCCACCUCCUCUUCCUCCAUCUUCUCCUCCGUCGACGCCGGCGGCUCUCAUCGACGAUAACGAGGACGACGCCUCCUCCUCUUCCUCCGCUUCCACCCCUUGAAGGAGAAGGAGAACUCGAAGGGAGCCCGAGUAAGGGCUGGGCGGACGAAGGUGAUGAGGUCGUUUCCGUGUUUCGAGGUUCCGAUGGGGUGUGCGGGGUAGAGAGACUCCCGUUGGUGAGAAUGGGGGUCGGGUGGAGGGGAGGAGGAGGAGGGGGUCAAGGAAAAAGGAAGAUAAAGAUGAAGAUGAAGAUGAGGCGAUAAAGGUCGGAUAGUAGUACAAUUUUUUCUAAAACAGUAUAAUUUUUAUUGAAAGAGUACAAUUUUUAUUUCAAAGAAUGUAAUUUUCAUAUCAAAAAGUACAACGUUCAUAUUAAAUAGUACAAUUUUCUUGUAAAAUAGUGUAAUUUUAUUUUAAAAGUAUAACCUUCAUCUUCUUCUUUCUUUUUUUCUGAUUCUUAAACUUUUCGGUAGCAGCAACAAUAUAUAAUGGUCUUUCAAAGAGAUUUUUUUUUUACUUUUUAUUCUUACUUUUUCAACCUCUAAAUUUUUAUUCGCUCCUUGAAGAUGAACGCGUUUUUUUUCCUCACCCUCAUGGGCAGCGAGCAUCUCCUCAACAAUGACCCCAUCGCCUCCGUCCGCUCCGCCCUCACCCGGGUCCGUUUUGAAUUCUCCUUCUCCUUCUUCGGCACUGACAAAAGCGAAGGAGGUGGCGCCGCCCUCUUUGCUAUCGCUGAGGGCCGCUGGCGCCGGUGGAGAAGGAGAUGGAGGAAGAGAGAAUGGCGUCGCCCUCGUUAUCGUCGCCGAGGCUGCGGAGGAGGUGGAGAAGGUGAUGAGGUCGAAGAAAAAAAAAAAGAACGAAGAAAAAGAAAAAGAGAGAGAGAGAGAGAGAGAGAGAGAGAGAAAGAAAGGAAUAAGGGUAUUUUUAGUCAAUUUGUUGAGAAUCUGAUCCGAAUAUGCAAAAGUUCAAAUCUUGUGAAUUUUUUAUGCAAAUUAGCUAAUAUAUAUACAUAUUAUAUAAUUAUUUAAUUUUGCGGUUUGGUUUGCUUAGUUCAAAAGUCAAAACCAAAUCGAGACCAAAAACUCAAAUUUCAAAAAAAUCACAACUGAAUCAAACCGAAAAAUCAAUUUCACCGAACGAAAUAGACUUAUUUUGUUUGAUUCGGCUUGGUUUUUUAUUUGGACCCCAAUUGUGAACAACCCUAAGUAUGAGGUGCAAUCUUGUGGCUCAGAUAAAACAAGCAACAAACUGUUAUUUUUUGGUUUUUUUUUUGUUUUUUUUUUUGACAGAGAAAAGUAGUGAGCUACCGCCUAUCGCAUUCAUUUUAUAGAUUAAUUACACUUUUGGUCCUCAAAUUUUAAGACGCAGAACAAUUUGAUUCUUAAAUUUUAAUUUACUGUAAUUAUUGGUUCGAAUGUUUUGAAUUGUAAUAAUUCAGUUCUAUAACUCAAUUUAGUUGGCUGUAAACAUUGUUGUGUCGCCAAUGCAAAAAUGAUGUGGCAAUAUUAUGACUAAAAAUACAGUAAUAAUUAAAAUUCACAUCACUUUCGCAUCAGUAAUUCAUUAAUAUUUAGCUUAAUAAAUUAGAUUUGAUCUUAAUUAUAAUAAUUUAUUCGAAUCAAAAGAUUAUAUUAAAUUAAAGUUUAUGAACUAAAAUGUCACGCGGCCUCAUAAUUAAAGAUCCGAAAAGACUUUUGCAACAAAAUGUUUUCUAUUAAAAAUCUUCUUUUUUAAAAAAAAUUUUCAUUUGUUUGGUUCAAAAAAUAAAAUUAAAAUUUUUUUUUGGAUUUCAUAAGAAACAAGUAUUUUUCUUUUCUAUUUUUUAAAAAAUUACUAAAUUUCAUAAAAUAUGAAAAAAUAUAUUUUCAAAAAUGUUAGUUUUUUUGGGAAUCAAAUUACCAGAAAACUAAAAAUAGAGUAUUUCAUGAAAAACCUUUUCUUUGCAAAAAUUAUUUUUAUGUCUUAUAAAGAUCCAAACAACCUCUUAAGGUGUGUUUCGUUGACCGUAAAAUGUUCCUAAAAUUUUUUUUGGGCUUGAAAAAUUAUUUUUUGUAUGUUUGUUUAGUCGUAAAAUUUUAUUUUUACAAAUUUAAGAAAAAUAGAACUUUUUUGUUUUCUAAUCGUAAAAUCUUUUUCAUUUAUUUUUUUUUCAACUAAACAAAUUUUGAUAAAAAAUUAUUAUUUUUUCUAUAUAUCCAAACAUUAUAAAACACAAAGCUUUUCUUCCAUAAAAAAAUUUUUUAUAAAAAAUUAAUUUUCACCAUUUUGCCUGGAACCAAACCUAGUUAGUAAAUUCGCGAAUUAUUCAGGAAUUAUUAAAAAUCCGAAUUAAGCGGUCUAUUUAUAAAUUUUUCAGAAAGAAAGAGAAUUAUUCGCGAAUUUUUUGGGCCAGCCGAAUUAUUCGUGAAUAAUUCGCGAAUUAUUUGCGAAUUAUUGCCGAAUUAUUGAAAAUAUGAAUAAAAAACUUAUAAUUUUAUUUUUAAAUAUAAAUUAUUUUAUAUUUUAUAUCUUAUAUUUUAUAUUUUAUAUCAAAUCCGUUUUUUAAGCCGAAUUUUUCAACGAAUUUAAAAAUUAGAAAAUAAAUUUUAUACGCAUUAUAUCCGUACCGAAUUUUUGCCGAAUCCGAAUUAACUAACUAUGGAACCAAACACCCCUUAAUUAGCUUAAAAAUGUCAAAAAAAUAAAAUAAAAUUUAAAUUUAAAAUUUUACAUAUUAAUUAUCAAUUUUUUUUGAUUAAUUUCAUACAUAUCUCUGCAAAUAUAGUGAAUAACAAAUAUAUCCCUACAAAAUUCACUUUCAUAUAUUGUCCAUGCAAAAGUCCUAAUGUUUUCAAGUAUAUCCUUCUGCUUUAUUACCGUCAGAGAAUCAUUUAUAUUUUUAAUUUUGCCAUCACAAAUAUAUCCCUCCAAAGCUAUACUAGUAUAAUAUAAAAGGGUAAAAAUGUCAAAAACUAAUUAGUAUUAAAUAUUUAACCUAUGGUUAACUAACUUUUUCUAACAGAUUCUAACGUCAGGGGCAUAUUUGAAAAUAUCAUGACUCUUAUAGAGACAAUAUAUAAAAAUUAAAUUUUAUAGGGAUAUAUUUGAUAUUUACUAUAUUUGAAGGGACAUGUAUGAAAUUAUUAUUAUUAUUGGGUCACUUGAGCGGAAUUAUAUUACGCGUCGCUUUUUUUCGAUCUGGCAAAUCGUUUGUGGGCCCCCGAAAGAACUUUUCAUUUAAUAAAAAAACACGUGCGUUUAAAAAAUGUCUCCGUCGCCGCAACACAAGAUGCCAUCAUACAGUGGAAAAUCAAGCUGUACGAAUUGCAACCAAUGAGGUUUUCUUUUAAAAAAAAAUGAAAAAAAUGAAAAUGACAUUGAAAAAAAAAAAAAUUUAAAUUACAGUUACAUAAUGUUGGUUUAAAGAGGUCAGCAAUCAGCAUCUUGCCUUACGACAGGAGAUUAGAUUAGGCUGAGUCGCGCUCAGAAUGACGAGAGAUCAGGUUGGACCGAGUUUUGUUCGAAAUGGCAUGAGACUAAUUGAGCAGAGUCACAAUUGAGAUCUGUGGGUGCUUUAUCUGUACGUUUUAAGUAAACUUAUUAUGUUUUUCUAACAACUCGAUCUUUUGGAAUUAAUGGUUAGCGCCAACGAUCCGACAACUGCGAAUAUGUGCAGGUGCUGUAGAGGGGGAGGGAUUGUUAACUUAAAGGGCCAACAUAUCACGCUGCGGCGGAAGGCCGGAUUAGGCCGAGUCAUAUUCGAAGUAAUGUGAGAUUAGUCAGGCCAAGUCACAAAUCGAAACCCUUAAACGUUAUUUCUAUACGCUUUAGGCUUCGUUUGGGAUUGCGGAGAAAUUGUGUUUCAUAUAUCGCGAUGAGUUAGUUACCAUAUAUUUUCUGCAAUCUCACCGGAGAACGCAGAAGCAUAUCCGUAUAUGCUUUUUCCUCAACUCUAUUUUAUCUAAUAGCGUUAGAUAGAUCUCAAUACCAAACUAAGCUUUAAGUAAAUUAGUUGUAUUUUUCUAACAGUUUGAAUUUUUUUUAUUAAUGAUUAGCGCCGACGAUCCAACACAUGAGACGAUAUUAUUAUUUUAACCAAUCAAAUUAUUUUUCUGUAAUUCAACCAUUUCGUCAUAAUUUAAGCUAAAUAUUUUUAUUACAUUUCACUAUAAAAGAAUUAUUUUAAUAAUAAUUAAUGUGAUUGAGAGUGAGUUGGAUACUCAAACUCUAGUCCUCGGGUAAUCACUUUUACUCAGAAAAACAUAAAAAAUUAUUUUUAAAAAAAACUCUCGCUUGCCUCCGAAAAUUAUUUAUUUUUUCAAUAUAAAAAAUUAGUAUUUUUUUAGUUAAAAUUUUCAAGAAAUAAAAAUAUUAGUUUUUUCUAACAUGUGGAAUUAUUUUUUAGAAAAAGUAGUUUUUUUUUUUUUUUGUAGCUUAACAGAUAAAAAAAAAAUGAAAAAGAGAGUUUUUUCAUGGAUUUUUUUUUCAGAACAAUAAUGUUUUAUAUUUUUCCAAAAAAUCAAAUACCAUGCAUGACACUUUGGUUUACAAACUUUAAAUUAUUAUAAUUUAGAUAAAUAUUUUAGAUUAACACAAAUUAGUCAAAUUUAAUUGAUCGAAUAAUUCUGGUUUGCAGAGAUGACAGUAAUAUGACAUCUUAUUAAUUGCCAGAUUAUUAAUUAUAUUCCUCUUAUAUUACUUAUACAUUAGAUAAACGAUAUUAUUUAGCUAAUUAAAUUACAUUAUAUGGUUUAAUUAUAAUAAUUUAAAAAGUUUAAAGCGAAAAUCACAAUGAAUUAAAGAUUAGGGAAAACUUCAAAUACCCUACCUGUGGCUUUGCACUUUCUCACUUUAGUACCCUAUGGUUUAAAGUGUAUCUAGUUAGUACCCUGCGGUUUGGCACUUUCUCAGCUUAGUACCCUGUGGUUUAAAGUGUAUCAAGUUAGUACCAUGUGGUUUCGUAUUUUCUCAUUUUAGUACCCUGUGGUUUAAUAUUUCGUUAAAUUAUAUACAAAAAACUUCAGAUAUCCUACCUAGGUUUAUCGAAUAUUCAUUUUAGUACCUUUUAGUUUUAACUUUGUCACUGAUUUAGCGAAAAAAAAAACCCGAAAUGGAUAAUAAAAAGAGAAAAAUAAAACUACAGGGUACUAACUUGAUACAAAAAUGAAACCACAGAGUACUAACUUGAUACACCUUAAAUCACAGGGUACUAAAGUGAGAAAGUGCAAAACCAAAGGAUACUAACUUGAUACACUUAAAACCACAAGGUACUAUAAUAAGAAAAUGCGAAAUUACUGGGGGGUUAUUUGAAGUUUUCCCUAAAGCUUAAGAAGUAAGUGUCACAAGUCUCAAAGUAUGAGGCCAAAAGUGUGAUUCAGCCAAAAUAAAAUAAAAUAAAGUGAUAGUGACAUUGUAUUCAAUCUAAAAGCAAGGUACAAAAAAUACCACGUGUAAAUACAUUCUCCAAAUAUAUAAACAUUAAAAUGUUAUGUAAGUCCAACUAAUUUUGGAAGCAUUUUAACUCUUUCCCAUUUUAAUACAAUAAAAUGAUGUUGAAAUUUAUCUUUAUUUAGUAUAAAAAAAGAACUUUGGACAGAUCACAAUUUGCUCUUUUACAAUUUAUCUUUAUUUUAUUUUAUAAUUCUAUGCUUUAAAUAAUUGUAUUUUAUUAUUACCUUGAAUUUUAUUUUUAUUUUGCCAUAAAAAUUUACUGGUAAAUGGAAGGGUAAAGUAAAUCAAUCAUAGAAUGAUCAAUAUAUACUAUAAAAUAAUAAAAUAUCAGAAACUUAUAUUUUGUCUCCUUCAAAUUUCAGAAAUAUUUUCAGAGUAUUACAGUGUUAAUAAAGAGGCCAAAAAUGACUAGAUUAUUCUUAUUUGCUCUAUAAAGAAAAAUUAAUUUUUUUAUAUAUUUGUUAUUUUUAAAGAUAUGGUGUAAGUGAUAGAAAUAAAUAGAAUAGUGGCAAAACUUUGAUGUAGGGCGACUAAAUGCAUCAAUUCAAAAUUUUGAGAGGUUAAAAUAUAAAUUUUUGAAAGCGAGGGAGAAAAACUGAAAAUACAAAUAUUAACAGAGAAAUUUUCUAUAUUUAUGCACCAUAUUAUCUUAUUUUCCUAUUCUAUGAUGAUAAGCAUUAAUAUACAUAGUUGUUACGCAUAGUUUUUUGAACUAGAGAAUGCCAAAUACAAAUCCACUAAACCGCAAUACAGUUUUGACUAUUUAUUGUUAGCUAAAGUAGAUCCUAUUUCGUAUAAGCUCAGAAAACUAGCAAGUUGAGUUUAGUUGAGUCUAAUAAAUUGAGUUAUGAUGCGGCCUCAAUAGACCUAAUGACAAAAGACUCAAUAAUAAACGUAAUGUUCAGAUGAAUUAAGACGAGUCGAAGCCUACGAGCGCUAUUGCUGAGCCCUUAAAUGCAAUAAAUGCGCUCUUUCUAUCAAUACAUGCUUUUGAACACUUAAGAUCUACAUAUAGAUGGGAUGGGUAAGUUAAAAUUUACACAACUGACUAAUAAAUAGAUUGAUAAAAUCUACCCAAUUUUAAAAUUUGCCUUGUUAAUUUAAAAUAAGUUUAUGGGGUAGACCAUGGGCUGACGCAGAACAGGGCAUGUGAUAACAAAAAAUCACUCCCUCGAUUUUUAUUCUUUUAUAAUUUACAUUUCAAUAUUAUCAAGUUUUUCUUAGUUAGAUCCCUCUGCCAGUUAUAAAAUAAAAGAGAAAAAAAAAAAAAAAAUCUAAAGCCUUGUUUGGUAUCAUUAUUCUUUUAUUAUUUUUUAAAAUACUAAUUUUUUAUAAUUUGAUGUGUUUGAAAAAAAAAAAUAACUUCUAUUGUUAUAAUUGAUUAACUUGCAAUACAUUCAAUUGAGUAAUAAACGAUACCUUAUUUUUAAAAAAAUUUGAAAGCAAAAAUUAAAUUUUAUUUUUUGUUGCGAAGCCUCUGAAUGAAAAAAUUGUAAGCAAUCCACCGUACAUUCUUUCGCCUUUUAAUACACAAAAUUCUAUUUAAAAAAUAAAAAACAAAACAUGAUGCCAAACAAGAACUAAAAUUUUUAUUUUUUUUAACUAUCAAUAAUGCAUGAGAGUUGUUGGCAUUCUAUCAAACCGACGUUAAUAAUCAGACUCAAUCCGAUAAUAAUUAUUAUGUUAUCUAAUUAGACUAAAUUUAAUCCCAUUAUAAAUUUGUAAAACUAAUUAGAGAUUCUUUCUAAUUAAAUUACGAUGACGAAUAAUAAACUGAUUCAGUUUAAUCUUCUACUUACCUUCCUGGUGUUGAAAAUCCUUGCAAACACACAGAAAAUUGCAAGAAAUUUUGUAGACAUUUGUAAGAAAUUUGUGUGUCAUCUUAUAAGUUAGCAAAUCCACAUCCUCCAUAAGUCCAUUGAUCCUAGAGAAUCUUGAAUGGUGGACUGUAAACCUAGCUUGUCCGCAACUUGAUUUAUCGCGGAUUUGGAGAGUUAGACAAUCUUCAUUGACUAUCCAAGAACAUACGAAUCAACCUCAAGAACCCUAAACCGAUCACGUUCGAAGAAAAAUUAACGACGGCUCACAUUAAAGGUACGAUCGAAUACAUCUGCUGCAAAAGUCAAAGUCCAUUUGGUUUCCGACAACGCCACCUUCCAAAUGGGCCAUGCAUAGUUUUAUACAAAUAUUAAAUUGAUUAUUAAAGCACAACAAAAAUUUCCAAUUCUUUUAUUGAUGAAAGGUUUUCUUUUUUUUUGCAUAAAAAAUUUAUUAAUUUUACAUUUUUAUAAAAGCGGAGAAACUGAUGAAAAUUCAUGUAUCUUAAAUUACAUCUUGUGAGAAAAAUAUCCUAUUUAUGAAGGAUUACGCUGGUUUGGUAUCGAAUCUUGAGAAAAGCAUCAAGGUUUACAUCAAAGUGGUAACAUGUAAUUAAGAUUUGAAAACAACCAUUAGUUUAAAGGGUUUGCAUAGAGUUUUGGUCGAGUAAAUGCAAUCUAAGGGAACAAGAAUUUGAUCACAUUAAUAACAUCUCGAUUCUUAAUUCAAAAGCAUAAGUAAAAUACUGCUCCUAUGACAAGAAAGGGAAAUUCAUGGAAACAUGAGAUUCAUCAAGUGUUUUGAUUGAAAAGUACCUCAUGCGUAGAUAUCCAAGCCUCGGCAGCAAAAUGUGCACAAAUGACUCCCGAAUUCGGAUAUCACAUCGACCAGUCCACCGUGGCCGCCAACGGCUGUUACCUGCGUAGCAACAUAGGAGAUCGAGGGAUCAGCUUCAUCGAUUUGGUUUCAUAUGAGCAUCAUCAAACAGAAAUCAUCCAGUUAAAGAUUGUAAAUGGAGAAGAGUAGUUUACAGAGGUUUUGAUGGUCUAAAUGACCGGAUAACGAAACAUUACCAAAUUACCGGCCAUUCAUAGAAUGCAAGUUCUAUCAACAUCGAUUUCUCUCAGUGCAAUUACUGUAUCAUUUGAGAAAGUAAAAUGUUUCAUAUGAUUGAUUUAUGGAAUUAAGCAGCAUUUGUCACUCUGGCUCAAAUAGGACAUUGAGGCGACUUAUAAUCAAAAGUUUCAUUCUCUACAAUCAUCUAGAUUAUCAUAGAAUAGGAAAAUAAGAUAAUAUUUUGCAUAAAUAUAGAAAAUUUCUCUUCCACAUGAUUUUCUAGAGGGGUUGCUUUCAAGUUCCCAUGAGAGUUCAGCUACAGCCACAAACAAGCCUUACAAUUUUCAAUUGAAACAAGCAGUUUCAUUGAUCUCCUAAUUUUGCCUUCGCCAGGGCACACAGCAAAGAAAGAAAACAAUCUUGGCAGUCAAUUAGAAAAAAAAUCUUGGUAGUCAAUUAACCUAACUAAUAAAUUUAUCAAAUAUACAGGAUAAGUUAUGGUCCUUACAUGGCAUACUCUAGCUUCUGAAUUGGCAAAAUAUUUCCGUGCUACAAAUUAAGGAAAGAGAGAUGGAAAUUACCCCAGAUGGAUGAACUGAUAUGCAAAAGGCUGAAUGAGGAGCACACUUUAUUUGUGAAAGAAUCGACCCAUCUAAUGUGAAACGUGAGAGCAGAGGCUCUGAACCAACUGCUAGAAUCUGAAUUCAGAAAAGUAAUAGUCGGUAAAUGAAGGUAAAGAAGUGACCAGAGUUGCAAACAUAAAAACUGAAUCCGAGGGUUAAAGCAGACGGUGGAAAACUGAAUUAUAAUAACACAUAGAUAAUGAUAAACAUAAACAUGAACACAUAGGAAGUUCUGUUUUUCUCAUAUGCAGUAUCAAGUAUUAAAGUAUUAUUUACGAAGCCCUGCGCAUUGCAGCAUCCUUUUUUUUAAAGCAGUAUAAUAUGUAAAGGGCCUAAAGUAACAAGAAUAGAAAAUGUCCAUCCUACAAAUGCAAAUAAACCAUUUUGCAUUGACAAGCUGUUAGCAGGGAACAUCUUACUUGGUUCCCAUGAAAAAGUACAUCCUGAACAGGAGCACGGCAAUCUACACUAAAAAUGCACUCAUUUGACAGCAAGCUCCAAACUGAUAGACUAUUAGAAGUGCCACAAACCUGAAAACGAUUAGUAGUUUAGUAAUAGAGAGGUAAGGAAUAAGUAACAAAUUUCACUGCUAGUCCAAACCAAAAUAAAAGGAACACUUCGCAUAGCGCAUCAAUUCAAAUGGAAAAGGGAAAUGAGAAAAAUGCAACGCAUGGAGUUUAAUUUUGCUUGAAGUUUUUAGCGUUAUUUUGUAUGAGCUUAGACACCUUGAGUAAAGGAAACAAGUACUAGCUAACUUGUAUUAGUUGGAAAAACUUUUACCAUCCAGCUUUCGCUUGUGUCGAUGGCAAUGGAACUAACCCAUGCAGACUCCUUGAGCUUACGAUUCUUGUCUGGGUAUAAUAUUUGAGUACAUCUUCCACUUCUGCAAUCUGUAUUUAAGUGCAUAUGAGAAAACAUAGAUAAGCAUCAUACAUGCAUGAAUUUUAGAUGCCCGGGUAUGUAUAGGUCUUAUCAAGGGCCGAUGCAACAAGACAAGCUUGUCAAGGAAGCUAACAAAAGAGAUGAUUACUAGGCGUCGGGAUUACGAACAAAUUUUAUACUAACACCAAUUAAUAGCAGAAAUGCAUUCUUUUUGGCAUAAUAUGAAAAUUAUUUCUUUAGCAGGAGUAACUUCAUUCUUUUACAGGCCAUGAUGGAUAAUCCAAAAACCAAUAUUGUUUAUCAUACUGAUAGAGUCACAGAUGGAUAUUUGUUGACUUUCAUAAAUUUAAUGAAGAAGCAACAAUAAAGUCUUCUUGCAACUAAAUAUAAGAUAUAAACCUCACUAACUAGAUUGACAUAGAAAAGCUUUUAGGAUCUGUAACCUACAAAAACUAAUACAAACUAAGAAUAGUAGAAAAUAUAAACCCACCCCAUAUCCGGGCUGUUCCAUCCUCUGAACCUGUUAUGAUCUGAUACAAGAAAAACAAAACAUUAGCAAACAAGAAAAUAUAAAAUGUAUAUCUCCACAUGAUUAAUGCAAUACCAAGGCGCUUGUGAGAAAUUUGCUAGACAAAUGACAGGUAGGGUUACCAAACUUAUCAGUUCCAGUUAAGGUUCAUAUAACCCAGUAGCAGCCUUCAUGUGUUAUAGUAGGAACAAAAUCAGCUAAGUGCCUAAGAAAAAAAGAAUAUCCUAUAAAGAGGGUUCUUCAUCUUCGCGACACAACAAAGAAAACGAGAAAAAUGUAAUUGCAUGUAACCUCUCGAUAUCGAAAGAAACAAACCAAUGCCUAUGUUAUCUACUGAAGGAAAAACAGAGGAUGAAGAGCGUGUCACUUACCAUAUAGGUCAAAUGUUCGCAAACCUUAUCCCCACAUGAAUAGAAACUGUCUCCCAAAUUUGAAUCCAUUUAACAUUGAGUGAAAUUGAUAAAAAACAAUGAGGAAAUGAACAAACCUGGUUGCUUGAUGUUCGAACUGCAAUGCUAUGCAAAUACUCAGAAUGCCCCUUAAAGAUCAUUUUACAUUUGCCAGUCUCCUGCAGCAGCAAUUAUGUCCAAUGAAUAGGCAGUAAUGAUAAAUUACAACAUGAGAAAGAGCUUAGUUUAUAAGUUUACAAGUUGUCAAAGUUUCUACUAAUGUCAAGCAAGAUCAUUUUUCUCUCUUUAAAAUGAGCUUUCAACCUAAUCUAUUUACCUUAUAGAGAUACAUACCACAUCCCAACAAUAUGCGCAUGCAUCACCAGAGGCUGAAUAAAUGGAACCAUCCUAUUCAAGAAGAAAGAACAUCAUUUAAAUGAGAAAAAGAACUAACCAGUAAUGAGUGUCGCUUGCGGACAUGAAAGGAUAGUGAAAGAGAUCAGUUCUUAUUUCAGGGGCUCUAAAUAAAAUGCAAAGUAUUAACACAGUCAUUUUCUGGAGACCGAUCUAUGCCAUUUGGAGAAUCAUCUUUGCCCCUUAUUAUAUGCCCUAAAAGAACUUCAAAAAUGAUUCUAUUAUCUUUAUAUCACAUUUUGCAGGGGACAAGAUUUAUGCAUCCGCUGAAAGGAGAAAUGCUGAUUAUUUUUAAAAAGGAGAGCUUUGGUGAAGGUUUCAGUGCUAAGCCUCAGUUCCAACUCUCCAUAUCAGAUCAGUUAAAAGGUUCAUAUUCCUGAUUUGCACAUACAUUUUAAGUUUGGCCCAAAUGACUUUAAGAUUCAGCUGUUCCAGUUUUGUUAAUUUUAGAUUUUAGUUUACUAGUUUCGUUGCGAGUAAGAAAAUAUCCAAAGUUUCUAAUGAAGUCUGCAAAAGAGACCACACAAGUAAAAAAUCCGAAAAAGGUAUUACCUGCUUAUUAACUGCAAUGGCAUUAUUUUCAGGUACCGGAGAAAGGACGCCCCAAGGACCUCUAAAAAGCGAGGAAAAGAGAAAAUUUAGGCUCCAGAAACAUUUUAAUCAGAGAGAGAUAGAGAGAGAAUUGCAUAUAUCACUUCAUAUGCAAUAUAUGAUGCUUCAUAACUCCUUAAUCCUUCUUUACUUCAGAUGACUCCUUAAUCCUUCUUUACUUCAGACGCCUUUUUUUAUUUCCUAGCUGUUUUGCCCUAAAACUGUAUUUCAUAUUUGUGGUCCCACCUCACUCGCCCAAUCAAAAUCAUGGCUGUACAUGAAGUUAAAAUGACCCCAUGUUGAGAUAACAUAUAAUUAAGAAAGCAUUUUUAAGAUACAUAUAUUUGCAAACUACUGAUGCUUAUCACGAGCCUGCUUCACAACAAGGGAGGUAGAGGGUUACAAUAAGUUGAUAACGGGACUCAAAACUUGGGAAAUAAUCACGUCUGUAAUCCCAAUCAUAUAUGUUAUAUCUACCCAUACUUGGAAAAAUCACCGACCAUACAAAGAUAAAAUCAUAUCAGCCACACUUAGAAAUCAAAACACCUAACCAGAAGAGGUAGCAAUAAGAUGGAAGUCCAAAAAGAAAGGAUGAUUGUAGUAUCAAGAUACUGAAGUAGUCUCAAGCAUGUUACUGUUACAAGGGCAAAGAAUGUGAUGCUCCUAUUUCAUGUUUUUCAAUGGUUCAAAAAAGCACCAUUUAAGGAAGGAAGCACACAAUGCAUAAGAUGCUAAAGCAAAGCAAGUGUUAUCAUGUAGGUCCGUGUACCAAAAGUGUCUCUACAUGAGAAGGUCCGUGACUGAAGCAGUAUUUAUAUAACUAUACAGCUCAAUCAUGGACAUGGUAUGAAACAAGAAAUUGGAGCAGAAUUUUAGGGGGUGUUUGGUUCACCCCUUCUUCACCCUAGAAUAGGAAUCGGAAUGGACGAAUCCAUUUGUCCGUGUUUGGUAUGCGGGAUUUCCAUUCCGAUUCCGAUUCCGGGUGAUUGGGAAUCCCCCUACUUACGCAUUUUUCCAAUCCGGCUAAGAAGGCUGGAUUGGAGAUUGAAUCUGGGCGGAAUGGAUUUGUUCAGGUUAAAUUUAACUUUUUUAAGCUUAUUUUUAAUUAAAACAUAAGUUUAUAUUUUAAAAUUAUAUUUAUAAAUUUACAUUUUAAUUUGAACUUAAAUUAAAAAUUAAAAUGCAAUCAAGUAUUUCGAAUCUAAUUUAUAAAUUUGAAUUUAAAUUUAAAUUUAAUUUAAAAUCUAAAGUUUUAUUCAAAUUUUAUUUAAAAUUUAAAUUAAAUUUAUGGAUUCAAAUUGAAAUUUAAAUUAUAAUUGUAAGUUUGAAUUUGAAUAAAUCAAAAUUUAGUUUUAUAUUUUGAACUAUCUAUUCAAUUUCAAAUUUUAAUUUUUAAAAAAAUAUAUAUUUAAAAUUUUGACAUCAUUUUAAAAUUUUGACCUAAUAUUUAAUUUUCAGUUUGAAUUUAAACUAAUAUAUUAUAAAGAUAAAACUAAUAUAUCAAUUUGAUUACGUUUCUGAUAUCUAUCUGAACUAAACACCCACAAUGAGAAUGAUUCAUUCUGAUUCCGAUUCAGGUGGCGAACCAAACAGAAUGAGAUAAUGAAUCAUUUCGAUUCCACUUCUAGCUUAUUCUCAUUCCGAUUUCGACUUGAACCAAACACACCCAUAUUUUCUUCUGAAUGCUAGUUCUUGUGCAAUCAACAACAUAAUAUUUGGUAAACAGCAAGAUGAAAAUUAGUUAGUACAAAGCAAAUUACCAAAAAAAUAGUUAUAAAAGUUAACUAGGAAAAUAAAAAAUGAAGGUUAUAAAACAAUAAAUAAAACAAAGAAUGGUACACCUUUCACCUUACUAAAAGAUUUGCUUUGUUCUGACUAGGUAAAUGCGAUAAAAAAGUUCAUUAACCUUGCAGAACGCUACAUAUAUAAUGCAAUCUUUUGUAACAUCUGGGACAAAUUUGCUACAAAUAUACUAUGGAUUUGCCGAUACCAAGCUGAGUGAAUGAGCGCAUGAAGGAAUGCUUUCAAAAGCGGUAGAAAGAUACCAUGUUCGAUACUCACCUAGAUGGACAACCAGUCAACCUCGAUUCCCUUAGCAGUGGCAUUGUGAAAAUGGAAAGAGCUCCUACCCAGUAGCAAAAGUACUAUACUAAAGCUCAUUUUCCCUAAAUAGCUGGACCUUGGGCAAUCUACUCCUGCCUCGACAAGAUCUCAAUCAGUAAGACAACAAGCUUCUUGACUUGAAAGACUACUUCCUUUGCCCUCUCAGUUCUCUCCUUCCUUUCUGGAGUAAGGGGCCGAGUCUAUAUCCCUCAAAGACGACCACUUGAAGAAGUCCUUCAUUGGACUGACAUCAAAGUGCCAAUCCAAAGAUCAGAGACAACUCUCGGGAUCCCACCCCUCGCCCUUUUAGGCUAAGGGAAUGGUUCUCGAAGAGGAAGGGUUCAGAGGCCAGUCCCCCUUUGAAGAGGGGAGGUGGACCUUAAUGUACGCACUAAGAACUCUCUUGAUAUAAGAGAACUUAGCACUAGAUGAGUACUCGUGAAGAUGGAGUAAAUGGUCAAAUAAUAAAGGUUAUGUGUGUCAAGGAGAAAGAAUAAGAGGAUUUUCACAUCGACUGGGGUUUUAGUCUAUCAAAGGGUAUCUGAUAUAAAUUAUAAAUAAUCCAAGAGGAAAGAUAUUUUAUAUGGGUAUAAUAAACAAGAAGGAUAAAAAUAUCAACUGAGUCAAAGUCUCUGAACAUAUGUUAUCAUAUCAGACCUCAAUGUAGACUAAUGGAGAUGCACUAAAUAGGAAGAACAAAAACAAAAUACCAAAGUUAAUUUAAGAUAAAAAAAUUUCUAUUGUAGAAAUCUUACUCAUGUUGAGGGUUCACAAAGUCAAGUAUUGGCUUCAGAUGGUUACCUGCAAACAAGAAUGCUCAAAGCUUCACAAUGCAGCCCAAAAUUACUUCACAUAAGACCAUUCUGUCACUGGAACCAUCAUAGUUUCAUAGAAGAAACAGCAAAGCAAGUGUUCAUGAGAAAGUAAAUAUAGCCAUAAUGUAAGUAUAUAAAUGUGACUCUUCUAAUCUUCAUAUCCAAGUCCAUAAACAACAUAAGCAUUUAUAAUUUAUAGUUACAGAACUAACAAAACAUAGGGGUAAAGCAAUGCAUCUUUAGAAUCCAAAUAUCACCAAAGCUGCUCCUUGGCUUUGUCAUUACAUUGCAAUCUUGGAAUACUGUAACAGUUUUCUUCAUAGAAAGGCACAGUGAACACAUGGCCAUUCUUAGAGCAACAGUAAGAAGAGACUCCCUAACUAAGAGAUCUGUGGCCAUUUGAAAUACAAAUAUUUCCAAAGAAAGGAAACAUUGAAUAUGUAUCAAUGAUUUGCAAGAUACCUUGAAGAGAAAGAGGAACAUCAGAACUUAGUACUUCAAUCCAUCUCCAGCCUCGUAUCCUGCCAUCAUCACCACAACUGCAUAGAACGCGCAAUGUAAGCUUAGUGUUCAGAUAAUCUGAGAAGAUAGCAGUAAUUCGCAACAAGUAUCAUUCUUGAAAAGAAUAAAAACAUUAGGACAAGGUCAUUUUACAUAAAGAAAUAACUUGGGUUGUUUAUUAUGAUGAUAGAAAUGGAAAAGACAUAUCUUUAAUUGUACGAAAUAAAGCAUGUGAAGAUAUAUGAUGAGCGUAGUACGAACCUCAAUAACAAAGAUUCCUCUCCAUCCUCAAAGAAUUUUAAAUCAUAUGCAGGGCCUUUGUGCCCUUGAAUGAUGCAGAGUGGAUCCACAGAUGAAGAUUCAUAAAGAUGCCUUCACAUGAUUAAUAAGAAUAAAUUAGAACUAAUUGUUAAUGGACAAAAAUAAGCAAAUCAGGGCAUUUUAGUAACACUUACUGUUGAUCAACUUUCCUACUAAAAUGCAUAGGCUGCAAAAGAGAAGCUAAGUCAACAGGUGGUUCAUUUACCAGCAAAAAGAAAAGAAGAACAUUCUAUGCCCAAUAACAUUUCAUUUUUUUCCCUUAAUUCCCGAAUAAUUGAGAAUGACUGUAGCUAAAUAACAUAGAAAACACUUUGUGUGCUUAACUAGGCUUGAGAAUCAAAAGAAAAAUAAUUGAGGUAUUAUAGCCUGCACCUGGUAUACCCAUAAAUCUCAUCAACCACACUAAGAAUUUGUUGAUGAAUGUUUUAAAAUCAAAAUUAAAUCGAAUAGAUGUGAUCUACAACAUGGAUCACAGCAUCUAAAGGUCCCAUGGAUGAUACAUUUUGAAAACAUAUUGGCUAGGUGUCAAGUAAUGCCAAAAUCAAUAUUAUAGAAAAGGACAUUGUUUAGUUCAUACAAAAUAAGUCAACAAAAUUUGUAGUUUUUGAUAUGUAGGCCAUUUGAGUAUCAUAGAGCACAUUCAAUGAAUUAAAUUCUGAUUUUGAGGCAUCCAUGGUAGGUUUAAGGUGUGCAUCGCACGUCGCACCAGGUGCAUGCAAUAAAUUCUCAUAGUUGAGAGGGUCUCCAGACAAUUUCAUACAAUUUUACCUAAAAUUGUACGGAGACCCCCUCAACUGUAGGCCAUUUUUUAAAUGUCUUGACACCCUGUUUGAAUCGAGCCGAGUGUCCCAGACGGGUUGACCGAGUCAAACUGUUGACCAAGUCAAAACAUUUCUGACUUACGAAUCAGCUCAGAAGAUGACCCUCGAUUAAUGAGAUCAAGAUAGGUUGAGGAGGCAUCUGCUCAACCGGUUUCUUUCUCAAAUGCGUAAAAGCUCUUCGGAGAUGAAACGAACUCAAGAUCUUCGCACUGAAUCAGCUCAAGCUAGAGCCGAACUAGUUGGAUUUCAUUAAAAUAUUAAGUAGAACGCUGAAGGUUACAAGGAAAAGAGCGCUAAAGCUCAAGUUACAGUCUCUCGACUAAAACUAAAAGCUAAACUCUAAAAACUAUAGCCAUUCUUAGGAAAAGCUAUAAAUGCUGAGAACGGAAAGAAGUUUAAAAACAAUGGUCUUCGACACGGGAAAAGACUUUUAUUGCAGGCAACUUUCCGCUAUUUAUAGACUUACUAUCAAUCUUCAGUUAGUUGUUGUACGGUUGUCGCUUCGUGGGGAAUGCUCUGGCCAUUUUCUUUCGGUUACAAAAUCACUCUCUCGUCUCUCAACCGUUCCCACCCAAAAUCCAUUUGUCUUUAGGCUCUUUUUCUCCGGUUCUUGGUGUACCACAUAUCUUUUUUUUUUUUUGUUUGACCUCAUGAGCUGAGCCGACUACCAGUUUAUCACAUUUUCUUACGCCAACACACCCACUUAACUUUUUACUUUUUUUAUUUAGCCAAAAUAAAUUGGAGAUUAUCAAAUUAGUUAGCAAUUCGAUCAAAUUAAAUAAUUUUAAUCACUUAUUAGCAAAUAAAAUUGAAACAGUACCCAGCUAAUAGCUCAUAGAGACAUUAAAGUUGACCAAAUUUUCUACUUAACUAACAAUAAUAACUCAAAUUAAAAAUAUAUAUGCUGAAGCGAAGGGGAUCUCAAAUAGAAAAAAAUAAAAAAAAGUUAAAUUGAAGAGUCUUUUCAAAAUGAUCAAUAUUUGAGGGGGUUUCCAAACAUUUUAACCUCCAUUUUAACCCAAAAAUCGAGUAAAUAACCCGUGAUUCUGCAUAAACUACUAAAAACAACAGUAAAGAGAGUUAAUUGAUCGAAGUAACCUGGGAAUGGGAGGAGGAGAUGCAGGAGGAGAUGGAGUAGGAGGCGAGGGAUCCGUCGCUCGAGGCGACGACUAGGGUUUUGGGGCUAGGGUUUUGGGAGGGAGCGAACGCGGUUCUAAAGACGGUGCGAGAGACGAUCUCCCUCUCCGUGAGGACGCUCCGCCUAUAGCCUUCUUCGUCCCAAUCCCUCGCAUCCCAUCGUCGUCGUCGUCCUCCUUCUCCUCCGGCCCCCGCCAUUGUCGACCUCGGGAGCUUUUGCGCAGCGUUCGAAACGAGCGAGAGAGGGGAGUAAAGGGUUCGUGUUUUCGUAGUUAAGAGGUAAAAUUGUAUGGGAACCCCUCAACUAUGGGAAACGGUGACAUUCACUCCUCAACUUCUUAUUUUUCACUUUUUGGUGAUAAUUUCAUAUGUAUAAUAAUAAUAAUUUAGGCGUUUAAAAUUGGGGAUUUAUUACUGUAAAGUUUUAAUUAUUAUAUUUUUUUUUUGAAGCUUCAAAAUGUAGAAAUUUAUCUUUAUAAGUUAAUUAGCGUAAGUUAACCAUUAAAUUUCACUGUUUGGAUCAUUAUUCGACGUUUGGUUAGAGAAUAGGGAUAGGGAUAGGCCCUUAUCCCCUUUAUACCCAAACGCUAAUUUUUUAUCCGAUAAUAGUAGUUCUCGGUUAUCCCCACCAACACCUCUAUUUUCUAUAUAAAACUAUCUAAUAUUUUCUUAUUCCCGGGAACAACCCAAUUUUCAUCCAAACGCUAUUUUUCUUAUCCCCAUACUUGUACCUAUCCCUGUAAUAGUUAGUUCUUGCUUAUAUCCGAACCAAACUGUAGAUAUAUCAUUUAGUUUGGGUAGAAGUAAGUACUACUGCCUAUUCUAGGGAUAGGUAUAAGUUCAUGUAUAAAAUAAGAACUAAACCAAUAUUGCGUUUGGAUGAAAAUUGGGUUGUUUCGAGGAAUAAGAAAAAUAGCAUUUGGAUAAAUAAAAUAGAAUAAGAAAGAUAGUAGGUAAUUAUAAAUAAAAAAUAAUAAUAUUACCCCUCACAUUAUAUUUGAAUUUGAAUUUUUAAAUUUUAUAUUUAAAAUUUUAAUUUUUAAUUUUUAAAUUUUUAAAUUAAAAUUUUGAAAUUUAAAAUCUUAAUUUUUAAAUUCAAAAUUUUAAACUUUAAAUUUCAGACCAAAUUUAAAUUUGAAAAAUAUAAAAUAUCAAAUUUUAAAUUUUAAAAAUUUUAAUUUUUAAAUUUUAAAUUUAGAAUUUAAAAUUAUAAAUUUUAAUUUUGAGAUUACAAAUUAUAAAUUUUAAAAUUUNUUUAUUAUAAUAUUUAAAUAUAAUUUAUUAUAAAUUUUUUUAUAAUAUUUAAAUAUAAAUAAUAUGUAUUAAUAUAGUACAAUUAAUAAUUUUAUAAUGAACAUAAUAUAUUAUAAUAUAUAACAUAUUAUAUUUAUAUAAUUUAGUUUUAAUUCAAUUUAUAAUUUUAAUAAAGUUUGAAAUUAAAUAUUGAAAUAGCACUAUUCCACUAAAAUGGUGGAAUAGCAAAACCCAAGUUAUUCUGGGAUAACCGAGAAUAGCAAGGUUUGACAGGAAUAAAAUAUUCUGGUCGAAAAUCAUCCCGUUUGGCAUAAUAGCGGAAAUAACUUUUGUUAUUCCUGCUUAUAUCCCAAACUUAAAAUCCAAAUUAGGUUUUAAUAACUAAAAAAAUUUAAUGUGGUAGGUGAUAGAAAACUAGUCUUUAGAUAGGCUAGUUGUAUUUUUUUUUUUUUUUUUAGAGAAAGGUCGCAUUCUACCUGGUUCGUUUAUUUCAUUUAGAAAUAAACUUAGCUAGAAAUAUGAAUCAACUAAGAUUCGAACUUGGGUCUCGGGUACCAACCACUAGGCUAGUUGUAUGUAGAUGUAGUAUUGCUAUGAGUUCCAACUAAGAUUCGAACUUACAAAGUUACAACUCUAUUGUUGUAAUCUUACAACUUAGCUCAUCUAAAGGCUAUAAUCACCAUAUUAGUCUUAUUAAUUUUUUUAACACUAAAAAUCAAAAAUAGAUUGUUUAAUUUUUUAAACUAUUGGAUCAAGGGUUGUAAAGAUUAUAGAGUUGUGUUUCUAGAAAAAGUGUGAAAAUUUCUUUUUCGAGAAAAUAAAUUUUUAUGAAAAAACUUCUUUUAAAGCUUUUCGCCAGUUUAGUUUCAAAGAAAACUAACAUUUUUGAAAAGUUAUUUUUCAAAUUUGAUGGAAAAAUCGUGUUUUCGUUUCCUAAACAAAACUCAAAAAAGAAAAACACUAGCUUUCCAUAAAAUUAGAAAAGUAGCUUUCUAAAAAUAUUAAUUUUUUAAUACCAAAUAGGUGAAAAUUUAAAAAUAUUUUUUUUAAAUUUUUUGGCUAAAUUAGAGAAGACCCCAUUAUAAAUAUUUGCUUGUUUACUUUUUCUUCUUAAUUUUUAAAAAUUUAUAUUUUACUCUCUCAAUAUUUCAACUUAUUGUAUUUAACUCCUCUAUCAGGGUUCCAUUACUAUUCUAUUCAUUUCUUAUAAUUUAUAAUAAAAAUGACCUUUAAAAUGACAUAUUAUUUUUUUCUUUAUAGAGGAACUAAGGAUAGUUUUAUCAUUUUGCCCGCUCCAUUAACAUCGUGUCCCCUGAAAAUAUUUUUGAAAUUUUUAAGGGACAAAAUAUAGAUUUUUAAAAGUCAGAGAAGAAUAAUAAAAAAAAAAAGUAUUUACAUAAAAAUUUUCUAUAAUUUAGUUUUUAUUAAAAAAAUUAUCGAAGAAUAAAAUAGUCCUUAACACCCAGUUUGGUUCGAGUACAUAGGGCUCCGUUUGGAUCGGGAAUUAGUAGGAACUAGUUAUACCGAGAAUAGGUACAAGUAUGGAUUUUUGUAGAAAUAAGGGUAUUUUUUUGUUUGGAUGAAAUUGUGAGUAUAAGCUGGAACUAGAAAAAUUGUGUUUGGAUGAUUUUUGAGAAUAAGAGGAAUAAUUGGUAGUUAUAAAUAGAAAACAAUAAUAUUAUUCCUAUAAUUGAAUUUUAAACUUAUAAUUUUAAAUUUAAAAUUUUAACUUUUAAAUUUUAAAAUUAGAUAUUAAAAUUUUUAAUUUUAAAUAUCAAAAUUUAAAUUUCAGACCAAAUUUAAAUUUCAAAGUUAUAAAAUAACAAAUUUAAAAUUUAAAAACUAACCAUAUCAAAUUUAAAAUUUAAACUUUAAUAAAAUUUAAAAUUUUAAUUUAUUAAUUAUAGUUAUAAAAUUAUAAAUUUUAAAAAUUUAUAUUUAAAUAUUCUCUCUCUCUCUCUCUCUCUCUCAAGUGGGUUGGAACAAGCUUGGGAACAAGCUUGGCAACGGGUGAUCCGUUAUGGUGGGAACACUUGUUCUCACUAUGAAAAAAUUGUGUUUGGGUAUAAAGGGAGGGAUAUCCUCCUUAUCCCCCUUUUAUAUCCGAGCCAAACGGGGUGAGGGGGAAUAAGAUCUUAUUCCUUUCAUUUGUAUCCAAACAAGAAUUGGAAGAGUUAGGAAUUAUUAUUCCCACCCCUUAAUGGCAUGUUGUUUUGUAAUUUUUAUUUCAAAAUAUUAAAUUAUUUAUCUCCAUAAUUUUUAUUCAAUUUUAUUAAUCAUUUUUAAACUCACCAAUUUAAAUGCAUAUUACUUUACUUAAAAAAUGAAAGUGGAAAGUUUAUACUGCCAUAGGUUCAGAAAGCGAGAUAGUUAUUUCUUAAUUUUUACUACCAAUUAUUUCUCUUAUUCUUCUUAAUAAUUCAAACACUAUUUUUUUUUAUUUCUGCCGAUACUCUAAUUUUUAUCUAAAUAAAAAUUUAUUUUAAAUUUUACUUAUAUCCGAACCAAACAACC